UUUUUUUUCUUUUUUUGUGAUAUCCUCUAUUGUGAUGUUGUGGAUUUGUUUUCACCCCAUUACCAUGCUUGUUAUUGUUGGAUGUUUAGGGUGCUAGUUCAUUUUGGCUUCUUAUUUGGAUUGAUGCAUAUUAUGGCUUACUCUUGCUUUUCGAACCUCCCUCUUGAAUUAGAAUCUCUGGAUGUCUUUGGAUGCAUUCUUAGUAUUUUCAUACUGCUUGAGGAUGAAUAGGUUGUUAAGUAGAUCAUUUGUGGACCACCUCCUGUUUUUCUGAAAUUAGUUUGCUUCGAACUUGCGCAUAUGGAAGUUAUGAGUUUUUGCCUAUACUUGUUUGAUAUGUAUGAUAGAUUCUCUUUGUUGAGGUUGUUUGUGGUGUUAUGAAGUCAAAAUGGACAGGACGGAUCCGAAUGAGGAUGCUUGAACAAAAUGCAUUUGGGGUUUGUUUACAACCUAAACACGUGUGACGACCCUUGAGGUCCGCAUUCUUCUCAACCUUUAUGAGGUUUGGGGCGUGGGACGGAGACUGGUUACUUCCGUGUCCGGCCAUGGGUGGAGCCAUUCUCGUUGGAAAAAAAGUAAAGAAAAGAGAGGAGGAAGAGUUAGUUGAAAACCAAUAUAAAAGAAAGAAAAGCAAAAAAAAAGAGGGGGUGCUAGUAUUUUUGGUGAUAGUAGUGUUACGAUUAGGCACGCCCUCCCUCAGGAUGGGAAAAUACACAGCCAGGACCGUCUGUCCGUCCAUUUCUUCCACUAGUACCACAAGACAUAAGUGCAAUGGAGAAACUCUUGUAUAUUCGCUUGUAUAGGUGUUUAGUCAUAAUCUCUAUAUGUUUGAGUUUGGUGUGAACUUUUCUAAGGGAUUCGGUGUCUUGUACAUAAUUGAGUGGUUUGGUGAUCGAAUUGCAAUUUUGGCAUCGUCAAGUAGGCUUGAAAUGCUAGGCUAUGUAUUUCCUUUCACCAUGAUUCGAGUUCUCUUUGAGUGUGAUUAGUAGAUUUUCUUACGGGCAAGCAAUGUUCAAGUGUGGGGGGAUUUGAUAGCUUGAUUAUUGGUAGCCAUGUUGACCCUAUCUUGACUAGUUUUUGCUCCGAUUUUGAUGAUAUUUCAUGGUUAUAAGUGUCGGUUUGAUCAUUAGUGCAUUUCAUGCUCGUUUCCUCCCAAACGGACCAUUUUGGUUCGUUUCACUUGUUUCUUGGAGUCUUUUCCUUGAUUUCAGGUAUCUGUUGGAUAAAGGGUUCGAAUGCGAAGCCGAUGGUACCUUCCGGAGCAUAAUCGGAGUCUGAAUGAAGAAAUUAUGGCCGAAGGAAGUCGAUCAAGGUUGAUGUUGACUAGUCAAUGAUGUGUCACGGCCGGGGCGNNNNNNNNNNNNNNNNNNNNNNNNNNNNNNNNNNNNNNNNNNNNNNNNNNNNNNNNNNNNNNNNNNNNNNNNNNACUUUAUUUCUGCCCCAGACGUGAUUUCAGAGGGAGAAGACAGAAAAUGACGAACUAAAAGAAAAUUGACGAAGGGGAAAGCGCUGGUGAGCCUAGGAACGCCAUGGGAAUGAAGAUUUCAAGCCAAAUAGUUGAGGAAUCGAAGCCCGACGGAGGAUCAACCUUCUAUUCCGAUGGAUUGGCGGUUUGAAGCUUUCUCUACAUCUUCCAUGGAAAAAUAGGUUUUCUUCUUGUUUGGGUUUUAGACCCGAAACUUAUCGUCAUCCAUGUUCCUGUUUAUUCUGCUGCUUAAUAGUUUCUCAUAGUCCUUAAGAUGAUCCAAAACCCGAACAAGGCCUUUCCCCACAGUCGUUCUCACCUUAAUUUGAUCCGUAGCUGUCAAGUGAUAUAUUUGCAUUCCUCGUUUCCUAUUUCCUUCGGUAGUUGUUCUGUUUUCAUUUUAUAGUUUAGGAUAAAACUGUUUGCAAAUUGUGAUCGACUAACCAGCGAACGAAAGCUGAGUAGUGAAGGCCAAGUGACCCGAGAGAAUUCGACUUUGAGGUAUCUCAGGAUCAUUUGAUUGUGUGGGCUUGAAAAUCCUGAUGUCGGCAUGCACCCAUGCAUUUCAUUUUUUGAUUACUCAGAAACAAGAAGUGGUAGAUGGGAGCAAACUAGGGGCACCCUUUCGAGAAUAAAGGAUGGAGGACGAAGGGGGAACCAGGAAGUUGGUGUUGUGUGAUUGGAGCUUGCAGUCGGAGGCCAUAGUGAAGGGUUUGGUGGUGGCGAGCAAGAGGAGAGAUUGGUGAUGAUGGUUGAGAUGGGUUGGGCCCCUGAGAUUCAUCUAUACUACCCCUACCAGAAUCUUGAUAUGGAUGUUAUUUGUAGUGACGAUCAAUUCGUUAUGUUAAAAGUUUGUUUCCUUAUUUUUUACAUUUCUUCAUGCUCACCAUACGUAUUCUAUUUGUAACAUCCAGUGGAAUAGACUACGCACGCUACGAAAUGUUCAUUCCAACCCAUGGGUGAUGGGCGACUUUAAUGCCGUUACUAAUAAUUCUGAGAAGCUUGGGCAGAAUCCUCCACGAAGAGAAUCCACAGAACCGUUCAAACAAAUCAUUUUCAACAAUCAGCUCAUGGAUUUAGGAUUCAAAGGCCAACAAUUCACGUGGACUAACUACCUAGAGGGUGAUGAUGUGGUCAAACAAAGACUGGAUAGAGCUCUUUCAACAUGGGGACAAUAUUUUGAUAAAGCUACUCUAUACCAUGAGGCGAUGAUUGGACCCGAUCACACUCCAAUCAUGCUAAAUAGAAAAGGAAGAGCAGAUAUGGCUUCUCUCCCCUUCAGGUUUAAUGUGAGGUGGGCAGAUUUUGUGCAAGCCGAGGACAUAAUAAGGGAUGGAUGGAGUGAAGACAUUAAUACACAACAAAAGCUGAUUACCAUCCAGCAAAAACCAAGAGAGUGGAGUAUGAAGAAUGUUAGAAAUGCAGCUAAAGAAAUCAAAGCAACCAAGACAGAGAUCAAAUGUGUACAGGAGAUUUCUAAUGCCAACAAAUACUUUGAUGUCGAAAAGGAAUUGAAGAAGAAAUUGGAGAUCUUGUGGAGGCAAGAAGAGAAGUAUUGGUGCAAAGAGCGGACUUGAAUUGGCUCAGAGCUGGAGACAGGAACACAAAGUAUUUCCAUGCAUCAACCAUCUAGAGGACGAAGCACAAUAGAGUUUCUGUCAUAAAGUUGGAUGAUAAGAGCUUCACUUCAGACAUGGGCAUGAUCAAGAUGCAGGCCCAGUCCUUCUUCCAAAAUCUUUUUACGACGAGACAACCAACUAUGAACCAUGUGAACAUGAAUGACAUCCCGCCCCUGGUUAGCGACCAAAUGAACAACGAGAUGUGCAAGGAGGUAUGUAAUGAAGAAAUUAAACAAGCAGUGUUCGGAAUGGGUGGGAUAAAGCGCCAGGCUUGGAUGGAUUCUUAGGGAUUUUCUUUCAGAAGUAUGGGCACAUAAUUGGGGAUAAGAUCAUAGAGGAUAUCAAGGGGUUCUUGAGAACUACAGCUAUGCCAGAUGGGUGGAACGACACCAACAUUACCCUGAUUUCAAAAGUGCCAAACCCGGAGACUCUUUCCCAGUUUAGACCUAUCAGCUGCUGCAAUUUCAAGUAUAAAAUUAUCGUCAAGAUCUUAGCUACAAGGCUUAAACUCUGGCUACCAGAGGUUUUCAAUGAGCUCCAAAAGGCCUUCACCGAGGGUAGAGCGAUCCAGGACAAUAUCAUAAUUGUGCAUGAGGUUCUUCAUACUUUUAAAGGGAGGUACAAGAGUGGAAAUUGGGACAUGCUACUAAAAAUGGAUAUGAAGAAGGCCUACGACAUGGUUGACUAGGAGGUACUGGACUCGAUUCUGAGGGCCAUGGGUUUUAAUGAGAGGUUGUGUAGAUAGAAUGAGUGUUGUGUUAGAACGGUUCGUUUUUUGGUGCUGGUUGACGGUUAACCCACAAAGCUGUUCAGCCUUUCUAGGGGAUUAGACAAGGCGACCCCAUCUCCCUGAUGUUCGUUAUGCUCCUUACAACUCCUUCCCGAUUCACAAAAGUGUUACCAAAGGGGAAUUUAAGGGUAUCAAGCUCAACAGACACUGCCCUUCCCUGACCCACGCUCUCUUCGCCGAUGAGACCAUUAUCUUUGGAUAAGCAUCGGUGAGUGAGGCACAAAACAUUAUGGCUAUUAUCCAAGACUACGGGUCCCUCAUAGGGCAUGAGAUUAACCUAGAUAAGUUAGCAAUUACAUUUAGCAAGAAUACACCAGGAGCCCUUCAGGAACGAAUUAGGACCACCUUGGGAUUUUUAGCCUCGAUAAGAAUCGACAAGUAUCUGGGUAUCCCUUCCGAAUGGGGUAGAUCCAAAAAAGAUGUGUUCGCCAUCAUCCUCACCAGAAUGUUAAACAUUGCCCAGUCUUGGAAGAGCUAGAUGCUAUCCGCCGGGGGUAAAGAGACGCUCAUUAAAGCAAUCCUUUAGAGCAUCAACAUGAUGUCUUGCUUCCAGUUACCCCACAAAAUGACCAAAUGUAUGAAUUCAAUCCUCAGAGUGUUCUUACGGGGUGGUUCCCUGAACAAGAAGAGGAUUCACUGGAUAAAAAGGGAAAUUCUCACUAAGCUAAAAAGUGAGAGAGGAUUGGGAUUUAAAGACUUCCGACUCUUCAAUCUUGCCCUACUUGCGAAAUAGGGUUGGAGGAUGAUGAAAAAUGAGGACCUAAUGUGGGUCAAAGUUUUGAAGGCAUUGUACUUCCCUUUGACGGGUUUCCUAGAAGCGAAAAAGGGCAAAAAGGCCUCGUAGAUUUGGGCUAGCUUAUGUGAAGCCCGAGAAGUUCUCAAGAUUGGAUCCAUGAAGAAUUUUGGCAAUGGGAGGAAUAUAAAUAUCAUGAACGAUCCAUGGAUCCCCUCUAUCCGGGGUUUCAAGUUGAGUCCUAGGCAGUGGGAACAUGAAUUUGUUUACCAAUGGAUCAAGGAAAGAGGUAAAGAGUGGGACGAGGACAUAAUUUCUGCAUCUACGUCCCAGUUAGAAAAAGAUGUGAUCCUCUGUCUCCCGAUUGGUGACCCCUCCCAACAUGAUAGAUGGGUUUGGGCACCGGACUCUAAGGGAGCAUUCUCAGUUAGAUCGGUGUACCAUUAUGUUCAGGCCUCCUGCUCCACCCAGAACCUGCCCUCCAACCCCGCAUUUACUAAUAAGGACCCGUGGAAAUGACAGUGGAAGCUCUCACUUCCACAAAAGCUUAUUUUACUCCUUUGGAGAAUGACCCAGAAUGCGCUGGCGAUGAAGAAGAACCUUGCCCGACAUAAGUGUUGCCCCUCCCCAAUGCCCUAGGUUUGCAACACCGAAAAUGAAGAUAUUUUCCACUAUUUCUUUCAGUGCAAUCAUGCAAAAAAGGCACGGGCUUCGUCCUUGCCCGAUCUUCUCCUGCCGACUGGGUUCCUAACCUUUCCACUGGGCUCGACGAUAUGUACACCUUGUUAAGAAAUUGAGCUUUUCUCCUGGUGGUGGCUACUUGCUGGUGCAUAUGGAGAGCUAGGAAUGAUUCCACCUUCAGGAUGCGAACACCGGCUGAUGAUGGAACAAAUUUUUGUAUUGAUAAGUGAUGCACUUGAUUUGUCGUGUUCAUCAUCCUCGUUUAAUCGAAAUUUCAAGAAUAUUUGUAUAAUUUUGGAUAGAGGUUUAGGAUGUUUCGUGCAUUUAUAACUUCUAUCUCGAUUUAGUGUCUCACAAUCGUUCAAGGUCCAUUUGAUGUUGUUCCGUAGUGUUUUUGAUCGAUUUUAGACACACAACGAUGUCGGGCAUUAUUCAGAACUGUGUGAUGUGAAAACGAGGACCUAAAUGCAUAUAUGAAUGGAAAAAUCAAGAAGUUCAGGCGAUAUACGGUGUUUGGGGACAAGUGGGAACUAAGACGGAUGAAGUAAGCUGCUCGGAGCGGAUGGUUGCUGAAUUUCAAGGAGAACAUGGCAUGCCCCUUGAGAACACGGUGCGUCCUAUGGAACACGGUGCGUCCUCAAGGACAUGACUGCGUCCAUUUCUCUGGAAGUAACGGCCGAGAAACUGUUUUCAUAGAACAUGCCUGUGUCCUUUUAAAACAAGGUGUGUCCUAUGGAACACAGUCGUGCCCUUUUCUCUGGAAGUUACGGUCGAGAAGUGUUUUUUAGAGAACACAUUCGUGUCCUUUUAGGAACACAACGUGUCCUAAGGAACACGGCAUGUUCUGCCUCCAAGCGGAUUUUCUGAACAAUUUUCCUUCUCCAUUUGGGAAUAGACGAUAUAAAUAACUUGGUUCUUCCUCCUUUGAAGACAAACUUCCUUGGACGAAAUUGAGAGAUUUAUUGAGAUAUUUGAUAGCGACGAGAAGGCAACUUCGAGGAGCUCGGAAUCGGCAAAGGAAUCAACACAGCAAAUCAAGUUCUCGCGAAGAUAGGCAAAAUUAGAUUUUUCAUAAUUCUUUGUGUAAACCUAGAUUCAAUGUCUUCCUCUUCUGAUUUUGAUUUGUCUCUCAAGAUUAUGAGAAGCUAAACUUCUGUUGUUUAGAUUAGAUGAAUCCUAGGUUAAUUCCUAUGAACGAAUAAUUUGAUACGUUUGACGAUUUAUGCGAGUUGGAUGGAUUUCAUCGCGUAGUUGAUUUCGUUUUCGAUUUGUGCUUGCCUGAUCAACUUGAAUGAAUCUCUGUUAGAUUUGUCAUAGACUCGCGGAGCUUGCAUGUCUAGAAUGCCGAUAUCAAAUAACUAGGUUAGAUGUUAACCCUCAUCCGGGAGCGAAUGAACUAGUCUGUCGUGUGAGCAAUUCUAAAUUGGUAAAUCACCUAGAGGGUUUUAGAUCUUUGUCUCGAAAGAGAAGACUAGAAUACUAGAUAGGUAGCAAAUUAGCGGACCCGAAAGUGCAUGAUUUGAUUAGAGAAGAACUGCGACAGUGUAAUGCAUCUAUCCUGUUUCGUUUAAAUCGUGGAAUUUCUCUGGCAUUUGUGAAUUUGAGUUGCCUAGGGGGAUUCGAAAUCUAAGCAGUUUCAUCUUUGAUUGUCUAAACUCUUACUGUGCAGUCUUGCAAACCAUUUACUUUAAAAGAAAAAUUCUUUUUCACUUUGAUUGAUUGAUUGAUCCUCGUGGCACCUAAACCACAUUCAUUGAUCCUCGAUUGAUAUUGAUCACAACUUUGAGUAGGAUACUGAAAUAGACCCUGGGAAGAUUCGACUUGGUUGAUUUAUUAACUGGUUUAUUUUGAUAACGCCUAUAAACAUUCAUCAAUAAGCUGCUAUCCUAUUGGAAUCUUCUGCUAGAGGCCAAUAUGGUCUCAAAUAGGACCAACAUAGCUGCUAGUAUCUCCAAUAUCAUCCCACCGCCUCCACCCUUCCAACAAGAGAUAUACUAUGACGGUUCUUUCAUAGUGGAUGGUCCUGUAACGACUUAUGGUGUCAUCGUGAUAGACAUCCAUAAGAAUAUUAGGAAUAAAUCAUCUGACCAAUUCCAAUAUUCAUCACUGAUUGAAGCAUAUAUUUCAUAAUAAAAACCCCUUGAAAUUAACUAUAGGAUAAUUAUCUAAAGGUACAUGUGUGCUUGUUUCUUUCUUUUUCAUGGAAACUCCCUAUAAGGGGAGUAUACAACAAUGCUUUUAGGAUUAACAUAUAUAAUAACUACUAACUAGAACAUCUAUUUCAAAGACAUAUCUCAUUUGUGCACAAUAAAGCUAUGAAAAGUUGUGCAUAGCAACCGGUUGUAUAGUUCGGGUCAAUUGUCAUUUAUCUAAUAAGCUUAUGGAUAUCGAAGNNNNNNNNNNNNNNNNNNNNNNNNNNNNNNNNNNNNNNNUAAAUAAUGUGAUCCACGUAAUUAAUUAGGAUGGAUGGAUGGAUGGUGUUUCAUGGCUUUGUCACCACUUUGUCUCCCUCUAGUUACUCUCUCCCCCCCUUUAUGUACCCUAAUUUCACGGCAUAUAUGAUUUAGCAUAAAUUGAUCUCCUACCAUUUACUUUUUUUUACAGCCAAGCAAUGAGCUUAUAUUGAUAGAAAUUCUGGCCAUACAAUGCAUAUAAGUAACCGAUAAUCAUUUCUCCGAUAAUAAGGAAAAAGCAAUUAACUUAAAUAUUAUCAUAUUUUAGAUCUUUUUAAAAGUAUUGCUCAUAAUACAUCAGAGGUAAAAGGAAACAAAAAGAUAUACAAUAUGAUAAUUUAAAGCUUUAUGUGCUAUAAUAUGAGCGACGUUAUUAUUUUAAUACGGUAUAGAUGAAAAUAGCGUAAGUAAAUAGUGAAGUAGUAGACGCUGGCAAUACGCAAGUAGGACACCUUCUCUAUUGUCAGGAGAAGAACAAGUCAGCUGCUUUGCAUUUUAUGAUGAACUAGGUUUGAUGGCCACGCAAUAUUGUGAAGACUUUGUCUGAAUUUGGUGUAAUUUCACUUAUUUGUAGGUUAUAUGGUAAUUCUAUAAUUUAAAGAUUUUAGUAUCUGUAAUCAUGUGGCUUAAAUUUCAUUUAUCUCAAUUGAUUCUAUCAUAAGAAUAGAUAAUUAAUCGAUUGAGAGCUGAUGAAAGGGAAAGGAAGUGUCAUAAAUUUUUUUACGGUGUUGGCAUUCAAUCAGCUUCUUUCAAUAUGGAGCAUUAACAAUGAUAUCAUGGCAAAUUGAAAAUCAUGACCAUAACAACAAGUCAAAGAUAAUGUUUUUAACUUGGAAUAAUUCUACGGCCAGUGAUAAUGAAACGUUGCCAGUAAUAGCAGAGCUGACGAUACUGCUGAGUUGAAGUCUGAUAAUUAUAUAAAUUUGAAUAACAAUAUUUUACUGUAAAAUGUUAUUAUGUGAAGUCAUUAUUAUAUUACACUUUCGAUCACAAUUUAAAUACAUAAAAUUUUGAUAAUAUCGUAACUCAAAUAUAAUAUGUAAAAAUUAAUGCCAUCCAACUAAAAAACAACAUUAAUGAGGGAAAAAAUAUACUUUAAGGUUUAUAUAAAUAAUUACAAACGAAUAUAAAAUAAGAGAAGAAUAGCAAAAAAAAGAGAGAAUUUAAAAACGAAAAUGAAAAUACCUUAUUUGACCGAGCCGGGUCGGGCUAAACUCGGUCGGGUUUCCAUCUCUAUAAUGACUAAUAUGCAUCAUUUACUCGAGUUGUGUGUUUGAUAACCUGGAAGUCUCAGGUUCGAAUCUAGCACACCUUAUGAAAUGAACACCAAUGUUAUGUUUACUUUAUAUUUUCUAUCUUAUAUUGACCGAGAGUCGAUCUACUAUAACCAAAAAAAAAACNNNNNNNNNNNNNNNNNNNNNNNNCUAAUAAAUACAGUUAUCUCGAUAUUAUAUCAACUUUCUCAUAUAAAGUUUUAAUAAAGUCACAAUGUAAAUAAAAAAUAUCAAGACGUCAUUCUACUUAAACAAUAUGAAUGAAGAAUAAAAUAUGUUUUAAAUAUUUUAUAAAUGGUUAUAAACAAAAAAUCAAUUUUAAGUGAGAGUGAAAAAAGGGAGAUAAAAUUCUGAAAAAAAUAAGAAAGAAAAUAAAUAACUUUCAUUUGCCACUCAUCUUUGCUUAAACCCAACUCAUUGUAACUGUAAAUCAUAAUUCAUAUGAUAAGUGGAAUGUGUAAUCUUGACCACUUUAUUAUUCGGAUCAAAAUUUAGAUUUCAAUUAAAUAUAUUUUGAGAGCUAAUUUUUUUCAUUUUCAUUCAAAUUUCAUUUCACAUCCUCAUUUACAAAUGAAUUUCUAAUUGUAAUAUAAAGGAAUGAAUUGGAAACAGAUCUAAAAAGUUAUGAGUGCGUAAUAGCUCAUUAAUCGAGCGUCCUUGCACCAAAGAUGAACGGGGCUAGGCGAUCUAUCGAAGUUGUGGGAUGUAAAAAUGCAUCGGUAGGGGUGCGUUCCGCCUUAGGGGGAAGCACCCGCGCAAGCGGGUGUGGACAUUGUGUCACACCCAAAAAUUGGUUUAACCCUGCUUCACAUUCACAAGGGAGCUACAUAUGAGUUAAACCUGUCGACGGUGAAGUAACACCAAGCUUAUGAGCUUAUUAUCCUAGGUCGGAACAAGUUGAUAGGAUCCCCUUUUUACGUCCCCAUGUCGACAGCAAAGGGCAUGGAAAAAGGAAAGAGAAAGAUGGGGUUUUCUCGCUUUAGGUAUAGCGAGUGGCCCCUGGCGGGUAGCCCGCAACACAGGAUAAUAGCUCAGUGGUAGAGCGCGCCCCUGAUAAUUGCGUCGCUACAAGAAAAAAGGUCUAUUGAGACGGUUUUAUAACAACACAUAAAUAAAUGUCGCAAAAACAGGGACUAAAUGUAGUUUGUACGACAUAUUUCCGAAUGUCGCUAGUAUGUAAUUUACUACGACAAUUUGUAUGACACUUUGAUAUGUCGAUAGAAGUUUACGUUUGUUGUGUCAUUUUAUUGUACUUAAAAUGACACAUAGCUAUAUGUGGUUCUAAACUCAUCCGGCAGUACAUUGUUGUGACGUUUACAGUGACAUUUGUAUACAUUCGUGGAAGUUUAAGAUUUUGCAACAUUUUACUAUGUCAUUUAUAAAUGUCGAUGAAAGUUUAAAUUUUUUUAUGGAAUUACUUCGUUUUAAAAUUAUCCGGCCGUUUACUUUUGCGACUUUUAUGGUGGCAUUUGUAUAUGUCGGUUAGGAUUUGAAUAUAUACUUUACUAAUUAUUAAUUCAACAUGUUGAAAGUUAAUUAAGGUAAGCAACGAGUUACCUCAAAAAAAGAUUAAAAAAAUAAAUUAUACCAACAAUUAAUAGAUGAAAAAUAUAAAACUUAUGUUCUAACUUGUACCUAAAAGAUAGCUUUUUUCACGUACAAUUUUGAGGAAAUAAUAAUUAUACAAUAGAAAGUGAGAUCAUGCUUCCGAAAUAAUGAAUUAUCUCGUUGAUAUGAACAGCCGACAAUAUCUCCCAUUAUUUAAUUCUAUUUUAUCUCAACAAAUCGGUACUUCCUUUUCAACAAAUAUUCAUCAUCUUUUAAAUUCUGAGCUUUCUGUACAGUUUUCUUCGGUUUCCUUAUGAUAUAAAUGUUUGUUAAUUUGGUUCGGUCUGUGUAGAGGAGCUGGUUUUGAUUUGUUGUUUGUACUAUAUUUGAGAUUGCUUAAAACUGGGAUAAAUAUAUAUAUUGUAAAAGAUACACUUACGUUGACAUAAAAACACGUCGUAAGAAACUAUCGCUUGUGACACAUAAUAUGUCGCUGUAAACGUCGUAAGAACAUGUCACCAACGUUUUGAUAUGUGUCGGGGGAAAGGUGUCGGUUAAAAUAUGAAACGUCCUUGAUCUAAACGACAUUUAAGCGACACAUUAUUAUGUGUCGGGAUAAACAUUUUAGCGACAUUUGUACAAUAUCACAAUAGGCAUUUUUUCUUAUUAUCGUUAUGAACUGUAAAAAUUCUCAUUCAUAUGAAUAGUUUAAUAUACUCAUCAACCCCGACUAAGUGAGGAGUCACGGUUCACGUGAAUAGUAAAUUACAAUACCUUCUCCUUGAAUUUUUUAUUCUAAUUUGUGAAACUUCACCGCUUAAGGCCGACGACUAUAUGAGUUAUUGUCCACUCUAAGUGAUAUGAUAUUGAACAGAUAGCUACCCUCAAUGAAAUCGUAUUUAUCUAAGCAAUGAAAUUGUGUUGAUGUAAGCAGUCUUACUAUGUGACUAACUAUGGCAGUACGUACGUGUAGAAAGAAUGGCAGUGUCCAAUUACAUGCGUUUGGACUGGAGAUGUCACACGAUCGAGUGCAUGUAAUCUUUGUAUAAUAUAUUUACCCCGAUACGUACGUACGUAGGUGGCAUUCGUGAAGGAUGAUCGAUGAAUUAUUAUGUAUAUCUAAAAUAAAAAGGGAUGAUAUGAUAGACCCACUAAAUCCAACCAAACCCCAAUACUAGCUACUAGCAAUAUGGGAAACUAAAUUAUAUAAAAUACAGAGAAAUAUAAUUAUAUAUUGGGAGAUGUCUUGUUUCUCCUUGCUUCAUGCCGACAUGCUUUUGACUAGGGUUUCCUUGUCUGUUGUUUUCCCCACAUUUAACUCUGUGUGUUCUUUUGCUUCUUCUGGUCAACAGAAAUUAACCACUAAUUAAUUAGUAGAGACGACCCUUUUAUCAUUUUAAUUAAAAAUGUCGUUUUAAAAGGAAAUUAAAGGAAUAUCUGAUAUAAUUUUAUAUUACGGUAGCUAUAAAAUUUUAAUUUAGACUUGAAAAAAUUAAAUAUAUUGAUUUUAACAUUUGAUUAAGUAAAAGUAUCACUCUAUAUAUCACAAACGUCAAUUGGCUAACAAUUAUCCCAUUUUGGUGGGGUAUCGUAACGUUUAUCUAUUUGUGUAAAUAAAUAAAUAGAAGAGUAGAACUUCAAAUACCAUAAACCAAAUUACAAAAUCAUCUAAACUAUACAUAUAAUUUAGGAUUUGAGAUAAAGAAAUAAAAUAACAAAGAGACUCUUCCUAACUCCCUUUCGGUCCUGACACGACCAAACAUCGAAUUAAACUUAAAAUUAUCCUCAACUAAAUUUAAAAAUUUAAUAAAUAUAUCUUUGAAAUUAAUGGUUUAGAUCGAAUAGAGAGUGAUGCCGGACCCAUCCAACCACCCCUGAUUCCGCCGGUGCAGUACUGUGGCAAUUUUUAAACAAUAGUGACCAAACAAGCAGAGAGGCCUACGUACAAAGACCAAAGUGAUCGCUGGUGUCUUCUUGGAGGUACGUUGGUACUGUUGUGAUCUAUACUAAAUUUACAUACAAUCACAUUCCCCACUUAGCUAAUACCAUAUAUAAUUUAGCAUUUUGUUGUUAUACUUAUGUAUUGAAUUUUUUUUGUAUUCGUUUUGUUUUUAUUUAAUUUUUAGUGUUAGGUUUGUUGUACUUAUUUUUAUAUUCGGUUUAGAAUUAGGGUUGUGUGUUUGAUUUUUGUACUCGGUUUAGGGUUGUGUACUCUUUUUGCUUGUACUUGAUUUUUAGUGUUAGGUUUGUUUGUACUUGAUUUUUAUACUCGGUUUAGAGUUAUGACUUAUGCACUUGAUUUUUUGUUGUCAUGGGUUGUGUACUCGGUUUGCUUGUAUGUAUUUGGUUUUUGUACUCAGUUUAGGGUUAGGGUUAUGUGCUUGAUUUUUUGUUGUUGUGGUUUGUGUACUCGUUUUGCUUACUUUGAUUUUAGUGUUAGGUUUGUUUUACUUGAUUUUUAUACUCGGCUUAGAGUUAGGGUUAUGUACUUAUUUUUGUUGUUGUGGGUUGCGUACUCGUUUUGCUUGUAGUCUUGAUGUUUAGUGUCAAGUUUGAUGUACUUGGUUUUUGUAAAUGCCAGAGAUGGCACCCAGACCAUAUUUCCAGCGCCGCCCUUCUUCUUUCUAUUAUCUAACCCUUAAAAAUUCCCCACAAAUUUAAUCAUCUACCUCUAAAAUAUUUCAUUAAACCCAACUUUCUCACUCAACAAAAUCAAAUCCGAUCGACGUCGCCACCCUCGCUACGGAAGUGGAAGAUUCAGACCGACGAUGGCCGAGGUGGUGAUGAAGAUGCAUGGAAGAGUUGAGGAAAAUGAAAGUGGUGGCAGAGAAGAUACUAAUCCACCACAUCCUCCAACCGCCGAUGAUCACGCCGCUUAAUGGAUGGUCUGAAUUUAUUCGUCGCAGCAAAUACUCCAUUUGUUAGCCGACAAUCUGGACUCAACACUUUUUACCAUAUAAUUUGGUUCUUAAAAUUAAAUUUUUUUAAGGUUGUAGGUGAUAUUCGGUGUUCAGGGUAUAAUAUUAGGGGUUUAGAGUUUAAUUUUUAAGUUUUAAUAAUUUAUUAAUUUUAAUUUAUAGUAAAAAAUUUAAAUUUUUAAUACGAUUUAGAGGUUUGAGUUUAUGAUGUAAUGUUCGAGGGUUAACAUUUUGUGUUUAAUUAAAAUGUUAGCGUCAUUCUUAUAAUUAACAUUUAUUUUUUAAAUUUGAAAUCUUAGAAAUAUGAGAUUUUUAUAUAAAGGAUAUCCAUACCAAAGUAUCCAAAAAUAUAAUUGCUGAUUUAACUGGAAAUAACUUGGCAGCUGUGUUCAAUCAUAUAUCCACGAAUGCAAUUUCUUUUAGGCGAUAUGGAUUAUAUUCAGGUUUACUCUUUUCAUUGUUGGGCCCUUUCACGAUUAGAUGAAGGAGGUAAUUUUAUGGUGAAAAUUUAUAAAUUUUGCUUCCGAGUUUGAUUCUGUCAAGGAGUUUUGCCUCACACCUUUUGUUGGCAGAUUUGGUUAGAACGCAAUAAUCAGAUGUUUUAUGAUGUUAGGUGUUUNNNNNNNNNNNNNNNNNNNNNNNNNNCUUAUAAGAUUACUAGUGAUGUCGUGUUUUAGUUGAAAAUGGUCAAUCUGUUUUUAAGCCAUAUAUUGUCGAGAUGACGCAUUUUUAUCAUUUUAUGAGAGAAUCUAAUUGGAGGAGGUUGGGUUGUAUGAGGUUUACUAUGAAGUUGCCUUCUAUAUAUAAUUUUUUUCUUUAUAAUUUUUCUGUGGGCAGCCAUACUUUGAAGGUGCCUUCUUUCUACAAUUUCUUUUUUACUAUUGCUAUUUUGCGGAAGAUGUUAUUUUUAUGUAUAGGUAAAUAUCAUUGAUAAAAAAAAUCCACGGAGCUAGCUAGCUAAAAUAUUAAAUUUGAUGAAGUUUCCUAGCUAACUAAAGUUUGAACCGAUCGAAUUUCGAAAAUGAGGUCGGAAUAAUCUUUUUAUCUUAUAAUUAUCAUCCAUCUUAUUGAAUACAUUUGAAGAAAAGGUGAGGAAAUUAAAGCUACCUGCAGACACAGCAAGGUGAAGAAGUAAAGAGACGACGUGGUUUUGUUUCUCUUUUUUGUUUUGUUUUGUUUUAAACUAAAUUAGUGAGUGCAGUUGCUGGCUGUAGACAUUAAUCUUAUAUAUUAAGUAUUUUUAAUUUUAUAAUUUUUACAUAUUUNNNNNNNNNNNNNNNNNNNNNNNNNNNNNNNNNNNNNNNNNNNNNNNNNNNNNNNNNNNNNNNNNNNNNNNNNNNNNNNNNNNNNNNNNNNNNNNNNNNNNNNNNNNNNNNNNNNNNNNNNNNNNNNNNNNNNNNNNNNNNNNNNNNNNNNNNNNNNNNNNNNNNNNNNNNNNNNNNNNNNNNNNNNNNNNNNNNNNNNNNNNNNNNNNNNNNNNNNNNNNNNNNNNNNNNNNNNNNNNNNNNNNNNNNNNNNNNNNNNNNNNNNNNNNNNNNNNNNNNNNNNNNNNNNNNNNNNNNNNNNNNNNNNNNNNNNNNNNNNNNNNNNNNNNNNNNNNNNNNNNNNNNNNNNNNNNNNNNNNNNNNNNNNNNNNNNNNNNNNNNNNNNNNNNNNNNNNNNNNNNNNNNNNNNNNNNNNNNNNNNNNNNNNNNNNNNNNNNNNNNNNNNNNNNNNNNNNNNNNNNNNNNNNNNNNNNNNNNNNNNNNNNNNNNNNNNNNNNNNNNNNNNNNNNNNNNNNNNNNNNNNNNNNNNNNNNNNNNNNNNNNNNNNNNNNNNNNNNNNNNNNNNNNNNNNNNNNNNNNNNNNNNNNNNNNNNNNNNNNNNNNNNNNNNNNNNNNNNNNNNNNNNNNNNNNNNNNNNNNNNNNNNNNNNNNNNNNNNNNNNNNNNNNNNNNNNNNNNNNNNNNNNNNNNNNNNNNNNNNNNNNNNNNNNNNNNNNNNNNNNNNNNNNNNNNNNNNNNNNNNNNNNNNNNNNNNNNNNNNNNNNNNNNNNNNNNNNNNNNNNNNNNNNNNNNNNNNNNNNNNNNNNNNNNNNNNNNNNNNNNNNNNNNNNNNNNNNNNNNNNNNNNNNNNNNNNNNNNNNNNNNNNNNNNNNNNNNNNNNNNNNNNNNNNNNNNNNNNNNNNNNNNNNNNNNNNNNNNNNNNNNNNNNNNNNNNNNNNNNNNNNNNNNNNNNNNNNNNNNNNNNNNNNNNNNNNNNNNNNNNNNNNNNNNNNNNNNNNNNNNNNNNNNNNNNNNNNNNNNNNNNNNNNNNNNNNNNNNNNNNNNNNNNNNNNNNUCUAAAUCCAAUUUCCAUCUUUAAUUUAAUUUUUCGUCAUUGCUGCUUUCUCCUAAUUAAAGCUGAAAUAUAAUUGCCAUCAUGAUGAUAUGAUAUAUAUUUUGUACUAAAAAAAAUUGGGUGGUUGGGUCGGCAUACCCACUGAUUAACCUUUUGACAUAUAUCGAUUAAUUAAAAGGAUCUCUAUCUGUAUUUAAAGGGUAAUGUUUUACUUUCUCUUCAUGGAAAUUAUUAUAUGACUUACUUACUGAUCUUCCUAGCCACCUCCACUCAUAAAUAAUGAAACAUGUAGGCUCAGCCAGAGUAUAUAUCCGUAUAUACAAACCGCAAUUAAUGUAUGUGUAUAAACCUGGCUAGGUAGUAGUUAUAUAUGCUUAAUUGGCCCGAAAGAGAUUGAUUAACAUUUGUUUUUACAAUUAAUUACUUGGUGUUAUAUUAUUGUUCUCAGUCGUGUAAGGUCGUAAGUGGCCACCGUGUUUUAAAUAGAUCCAUAAUGACAUGAAUCUUUUCACCAUAUAUCGUCUGAUAAAUACGUAAUUUAGACAAGAUUAUGGGCAUUUAAAUGACAGAUGAACCACCUAAAUUUAGUUAAUCAUUUGGGGUUCAUUUUAUUUUUAUUAAUGCUCCUAUUUUAUCUUUGCAUUUGUUAUGUGAUUUAUUUGAAAUUAUUCUAUCUCAUUUAGUUAUGUAUGAAAGAUAAACGCUUCCUACCUAGCUAGACUUAAAAAAAAUAGAUAAGCACGUGCACCUAUCAAACAAUAUUUUUCCUUAGCUACUUACCCAAGAAAGCCCACUUAGCCCGUCCAUAUGUUUUGUCAACUCUAUCAGUCUAAAUAUUUCCGAAAAGCAAAAUCAAAAUUCUCGCCCAAUUUUUGCCUGGAUGAUAGUCACGCGCCAAUUAUCUUUCUCUCACACGUGCACAAAUUCCAAUUACUCUGUUUCCUUAAAACUAUCGAACUGCAAGAACGCUGUUGAGGUGGAGAUUGGUUUUCAGACGGAAAUUCAGAGGUACCAGCCUACCGAGUUCGUUUUCAAUUAAAAUUCACGAACGAACUAAUAUAUAAUUUAUGCAAAUUUUCUUACUGCUUACAAUUUGUAAAUACAUUAUAAACGUGUUUCACACGAAAUUUAAUUUAAUUUAAUUGAAGAGUUGGGUUCAAUUGCUUAAUGGGUGCGUGUAGGAUUGAAUACUAAUAAAAAGUCCAACUUCUCACAAAAGAAUGCAAGUGAUGGACCAAAUUAAUAAAGGGUAACUAACAUCAAGCAAGCUUCUUUAUAAAUAUGGAACAAUAUAAUAUACUCUCCACCAACACACACACACAAACAACUCUCUCCCCCCCUCUCUCAUUAAUUCUUCUUGCAAAACCAGCAGCUCUCUUAGCUUGCUGUUUGUAGUACUGUUUCUUCCUCCAGAACCAAAAUAAGUAAUGGAAAUGGAGGCAAGGAGAGUUCACAAUAAGGGCACUAGUGGUGAGGGUAAUAAUAUUAUUGAUCAUGGGGAAGUAGUAGAGAGGAGCUAUGUUGAUUGGAGAGGCAGACCUUCCAACCCUCACAAGCAUGGUGGAAUGAGAGCUGCUUCUUUUGUUCUUGGUAUUCAUUCAUCUUUUCACAAACACACAACCUCCCCCCAACCCAAUAUACAUAUUUUUUAUACACACUUAUUUCAUGUCAACAAGUACUGCAUGUUAUUCUUUCUUACUAUUAUAAUUCUUUUACAUGGGGCUUUUCUAUGGCUAAGGGCCGAGUUGAAAGUCUUCAUCUUUCUUUAAUUGGCAGUUUAUAUAUAUAUAAAGCCAGCUAUCUUUCCUCUACUUGAUCUCUACUUUUCUUAAUUCAUUCGAAAGGGAAACAAUUUUUUGAAGAAAGCUUGAGAUUCUGAACGUUAACGUACCCUUUUCUCUCCGACUCUGUCAUAUCUCUGGUUAAAAAAAGUAGAUAAGUUUGUGUGUUCUUUCUACCAUACACGCAUGUGCACAUUUAAAUACAGUAUCAACGUACGGUAGUGAUGGUAUGUAGGUGUUGUGGAUGGGAUUGUUUAUUAUAUGUGUUUAUUCAUAAGAUUAGAAUAAUAACAAGCUAAUUAAGUGUGUGUGUGGGUGGGCAGGGUUACAAGCAUUUGAGAUAAUGGGGAUAGCAGCAGUAGGGAACAACCUAAUAACAUAUGUGAUGAAUGAGAUGCACUUCUCACUGUCAAAGUCAGCAAACAUUGUCACUAACUUUGUUGGGACAAUCUUUAUCUUGGCACUUGUUGGUGGCUACCUCUCUGACUCUUAUCUUGGUUGUUUCUGGACCAUGAUCAUCUUUGGCUUUGUCGAGCUUUCUGUAAGCCCCCCUCUCUUAAUUACUCUUCUUAUUUACAUUCUUAUCAUCCUCAUCAUUACAUCUUUAGUUUAUUCCUCUCCACUUGCUAAUUAUUUAUGUAGCAGAAAGACAAAUGUCAUAUUUUCAUGGCUUCCUCACAAGAAAUUAAUACAAAAAGGAGAAGGAUUUAAUCAUUGCUACAAGAUAUGUGAAGAUUGUUCCUUGUUGUUGUUCUGACUUUUCAUUUGGAUAAUAAAUAACAGGGGUUCAUAUUGCUGUCAGUCCAAGCUCAUGUUCCACAACUGAAGCCACCAAAGUGCAACCUGGAGGAUGAACAUAAUUGUAUGGAGGCAAAUGGGUUUAAGGCCGUAAUCUUUUUUGUGGCCCUCUACUUAGUGGCAUUAGGGAGUGGGUGUGUUAAACCAAACAUGAUUGCACAUGGGGCAGACCAGUUCCAUUUCCAUCACAAUAAUCAUAAUCAUAACAAUCAAGAAGAAGAAGAAGAAGAAGAUGUAAUUACUAGUGGAAGAAGAAAGCAGGAGUCAAAGAAGCUGUCCACUUACUUCAACUCUGCCUAUUUUGCAUUCUCAAUUGGUGAACUCAUAGCUCUCACUCUCCUUGUGUGGGUCCAGACCCACUCUGGAAUGGAUGUUGGCUUUGGUGUCUCUGCUGCUGUUAUGGCCAUGGGUUUGAUCUCCUUGGUCUCUGGCACUCUCUAUUACAGGAACAAACCCCCUCAAGGCAGCAUCUUUACUCCUAUUGCUCAAGUAUACUACCUACCCCUCAACUCUUAUCAAUGGAUUCAGCCAAUUAUCAGUCUCUAAAUUGAAUUAUCACAAUAACCUUCACAUCUCAAUAACUGGGUUUAUGUUGAUUUUUAUACUAUUUAUCAACAUGACCACUCAAACUAAAGCUCUCAAAUGAGCUGAAAAAUUGCAUAGUUUUUAUAAAUAAUGUGCAUGGAUAGGGGCCUAUCAGGAUUCAAAACGAAAACCUCUUGAUUUUUUUUUACUAUCCGUCAACAUUAUAUAUGUUCCUGGUUUUAAUCCUCCUAAUGUUUCAGGUAUUUGUGGCUGGUUUCUUUCCAAUCACAGGGGUCAUGUUGUUUUUUAUACUUAUUAUCAACCGUUGCAUAUCCCCUCAAACUAAAGCUCUUAGAUGAGCUGAGUUUUGCACCGUUUCUGUAAGUUAUGUGCACUGACACGGCCUAUCAGAAUUCAAAACGGAAACCUCUCGAUCUUCAUGUCAAGAACUGAUCCAUCCCAAUAACGCUACUUGUUAGGAGAGGUUCCAUGUUGUUUUUUUUAUAUUAUUCGUCAAAAUCAUGUUCCUGGUUUUAAAUCUUCCUAAUCUUUCAGGUAUUUGUGGCUGCUUUCCUAAAGAGAAAGCAAAUCAACCCAUCCAACCCACAUAAUAUACAACACUCCAGAAGCCAAAUUCAGGAGCUAAAUGCUGUGAAGACACAAAGAUUCAGGUACCUUUCAAAUUAUAAUUCAACCCCCCUUUUUUGGAAGAUGGUAUGAGAAUUAGCAUAAUUUUGACAAAAUAUUAAUGCAUCUGCAGGUUCUUGGACAAGGCAUGCAUUAAAGCUGAAGAUGGGAGUGGUAAUAGUGAGAGUCCAUGGAGGUUGUGCAGUGUGAGUCAAGUGGAACAGGUGAAGAUACUGAUAUCAGUGCUUCCAAUAUUUGCAUGCACAAUUGUGUUCAACACCAUUCUAGCCCAACUCCAGACAUUCUCAGUCCAACAAGGCAGAGCAAUGAACACAAAACUUGGACAUAACUUUGAAAUCCCUCCAGCUUCCCUCCAAGCCAUCCCUUACAUCAUCCUCAUUGUUUUGGUCCCACUCUACGACGCUUUCUUUGUCCCCAUGGCAAGGAAGUACACAGGCCACGAAUCAGGGAUCACACCUUUGCAACGAAUAGGCUCCGGCCUGUUGCUAGCCACCUUCUCCAUGGUGUCAGCUGCUGUCAUGGAGAAGAAGAGGAGGGAUCAUGCAGAAGCCAGUGAUGAUCCAAACAACAAGCUGUCCAUAUUUUGGAUCACACCACAGUUCCUUAUAUUUGGGUUGUCAGAGAUGCUGACUGCUGUUGGUUUAAUUGAGUUCUUCUACAAGCAGUCUUUGAAAGGGAUGCAAGCAUUCUUGACAGCAAUCACUUACUGCUCAUAUUCAUUUGGGUUUUACCUCAGCUCCAUAUUGGUGUCUCUGGUCAACAAAGUUACCUCAGAUUCUUCAAGCCAUGGUUGGCUGAGUGACAAUGACCUGAACAAAGAUAGGCUGGAUCUUUUCUAUUGGAUGCUGGCAGUUCUGAGCGGCGUCAACUUUUUCAACUAUCUGUUUUGGUCCAAGUGGUAUCAUCCUCCUUCCACAUCUGAGGUCAACUUCCAACUAACUUUCAACUCUUCAAAAGACAUUGGAGAUGAAGAUAUACCAUAAAGGAGAUGAGGGAAAUGGAGGUGUGGUAGGAUACACACCAAUAGAAAAACUAAGACACUACUAGGUGGUGAUGGAUGAGAAUUGAGUGGGGGUUGAGUUUGUAUUCUUGUUUCUUCUUCUACUAUAAAUAUAAGGAAUAUAAAUAGGGUUGUAACGUAAUGCAGUAAUGGUGGAAGGGAAAAUCUCUCUUUCAAUUAUGAUUGUUAUGGUGAAUGCGCCAUAUGGAAGGGGACCAUCAUCAUCAUAAUGAGGCAUAUAGCUCUCUAUAGUCUCUACCUAGCUAGCUAGCUAGCGAGUUAAUAAUCUCUCUGUAAAGAUUUUGCAGCAAUUCUAAUGAAACCAAGCAACUCUGUCUCUCAGAAUUGCUUUCUCUCCAAACAUACAAUUUAUCCCAACCAAUUAAGGGAAUCGAUGAAUGAGGAAACAGUGUAACAAUAUUCUGGCAUUUGGACUGAAAGUGAAAAGGAAAAGAAAUAAUGAGUAGAUAGAUAUUCCCUGAAUCGUGGGGGGUGGAGGGGGAGGGACAUCAUCUCCUAAGUCAUGUGAAUGACACAGAAAGAAAGAAAGAAAGAAAGGGAAUAUAGUUGCAGUAGCAGUUGUGUGUAUAUGUGGUUCACGAGCUGAGCUUUUCUGCCUAAGGUCCCAUCUCAAAUUCAGAUGCAAUACUUUUAUUGUCUAUCGUGUGGUAUUUUAAUAAUUUAAAUUGUUGGGAUAAGGUUCAAAUAGAUUUUAUUAUUUUAAAAAAGAUUAGAUUUGUAUAGCUUCACGUGAUAAGUCAUCUGAAAGGAAUGUGGGCUACCGGAAUUUGAAAUGGAGAUCUCUCGGUCUUUUAACACUCCGAUACGAUGUCAUGAACCAUUACAUCUCAAUAACUUGAGUCGUUGGGAGAGGAUUCUGAUUGAUAUUAUAUUAUUCACUAUCACACCCUCUAAAAAGGAAGGCUUUCAUAAGACUUGAGGUUUGCACAACUUUGAUUAGUCAUGUGCACAGAUUUGGGGAUAGCCCCAUAUUCGAAACGGAGAUAUCUCCGUCUUUUCAGGCUUUGAUACCAUAUCAUGAACUGUUACAUUUCAAUAACUCGAAUUGUUGGGAGAGAUUCUAAUUGAUAUUUAUAUUAUUCACUACCUCCGAUACGAUAUCAAAACCCGUUAUAUUCCAAUAACUUAAAUUAUUAAAAAGAACUAAUAUAAAUUUUAUAGUAUUCCAAUAACAAACACCCUCUAAUCAACUUCAUUAACAAAUUGAGUAGCUGUGUUUGAUGGAACAGGUAAAACAGCCUCCAAACACCUAUAGUCGUCUUCCCGUUUAGUUCAUGAAUGUGGAACACAAACAACGAUCAUCGUAUAUAUCUCCCCAUAUAAUCCCUCAACUCAACUAGCACAAUAAAAAAAGUAAGAGUUGACACACUGUACACCAACAUUCAAAGACGUCUUCGAUUAAAUUUAAAUUAUAAUUAUUAAUGUAAUUACUAAUUGAGCUAACAAACCGUAUAUACUUUGUAUAAAUUGUAUACAAACCCCAUACAUAAUGCCUACGUUUUAUUUGUAUGAAUUAUGUAUGAACCUCGUACAGAGCAGGUUUACUUUGGGUGAACUAUGUUUGAACCUCGUACAUACAGAGUGUACAUAUUCACUUUAUAUUCCCUCUUCUAAUUUUGAACCUCCUUCAUUCGAUUGUGCAGCUGCAUGUAUCUGUGGCUUGUAUCCUCCUUGACCUUGGGUGUAUGCAGGUCUAAUGUUUCCUGUCCCCCUUGCUCCUGGUUGUGGCAUAGGCCUAGGGGUGACUCCUAGAGGGAAGCCAUUCUUAAAGAAACACAUUUCUACUAUGUGAUUUUGCAUUUUGCAGAAGGUGCAAAAUAAAGUUCUUCCCUUCUGAGGUGUUGGUCGAAAGCUUUCCUGCUGUCCUGCAUUACGCUUGCUAAUGGAGAGAGCAUCGCCAUAGGUUCAUUAGAACCCUUGAGCUGUGUUCCAUACAACUAUCUCUCAUGUUGUAUCAUUCGUUGAACAACCUUGUCAAUAUUUGGAAGUUCAUCACCAAACAACACCUGAGUGCGAGGUCCAGCAAAAUUUUCAUUGAGACCUCUCAGAAAAUGUAUGACAUUGUUGGUGUCUUCAUAAAGAUAUACUUUCUCAUUUGUAGAGAGGUUGCUGGUUGCAGUGCAGUCACAGUUGUAGAGAGGUUGAUAAUUUCUCAGCUCAUCUCUGAGAGUGAUAAUAGAUCCAUAGUAUUCAGUCACAGUUUGAUUACCUUGUUUCAGAUUUGAAAGCUGCUCAAGGAUUUCUGCAAUCCUGAUCACAUCACCUUGGCCAUAUCGUGCAUUCAAGCUUUCCCAGGCAUCUUGUGCGUUCUUCAAUCCCAUGAUGGUCUUUCUGAUGCCUGGUUCGACUGAUUGUUGCAACCAGCUCAGCACCAUGAUGUUGCAUCGAGUCCAGGGCCAGAACAUUGGGUCUACAACCUCUGGUUCUCCAAUGCUUCCACCAAUAAAUCCAACCUUGUUCUUUGCUCCAAGUGCAUUGUGUAUUGUUCUGCUCCAGUCAGUGUAAUUGCUCGUGGUGAGCUUUUCGGUAACAAGGGACUGACCAGGCUGCUCACUACCAUGAAGGUAGUAAGGAUCAGCUAGAGGGUACUCUGCUGCAGCCAUGGUGAUUCCUAAUACCGCUCUGAUACCAUGUUAUUUCUCUUAGAGUUUUAGGGGAAAAUUUGCUCUACAUUCUUAUUCAUCAAUCAUUUGUUCAUAUACAGGGGGGAGGAAAGGAAGACGACAAUUUGCACAGCGUAUUAGCUGGCUGAGAGCAUCAAAGGCUCUAACGGAAAUGUGCAGAAAACGCAGAGAAGUGUAAGGACGAUGAGCUGGGGAUGAUGAUUGCAACGGUGACGUUUCAGCCUUAUCUUCGCUGAUUCUUGAGCGCACCGUUUCAUUUAAAUGGAGCGUUGCUGAUGCUUGAACGCAUCGUUUCAAUUAGGAGACAAGUCGCGGAAUUUGGCGGGAAAAGAAAAGGUUCUUUUCAUCCAAUACCCUUCCCCAAAUUACAGAGCUUAUUAGGGAUGGGAGAAUCGCGAAUUGCCGAUUUUGAGAAAGACAUGGUAGAGUUUCCUUUCCCAGCUCCCCCGAUUGAAUAGAACCGUUAAGAGCAUUAGCACUUUCCUUUUAUGUCCUCCGAGACUUUUUCGCCACAGCUUGCCAAGGCCCUUCCGGCUCCGGCGACCGUAGCCGUUGACGGGGCUGCCAGCGGCGGGAUUGACUAAAUUCAUAUUGCUAAUAGCUGGGGCCGACAGGGUAGGAACAAGUUUGCAAGGGCAGUUCUCAGCUUUGUGGCCAACUUUCCACAAUCCAAACAGAAACAGGAAAAAUUCUCAUAUUCGACCACCUGCCAAAAUCCAUCAAUAAAGACCCCCUAAGGCAAUGGUUCUGCCAAAUUAACUUCAAUGGCGAUCCUGGAAAAUUUAUCCCCCGUCGAAUUCUCAGUACGAGAGUCCGAACGCACAAUACAACCGAUCGAAUUACCCAAACCAUUGAGAAUAUCCUGGUGAUAAUACUGGUAGGGAAACCGUGGGAAACGAAUCCAAACGACCAUCUUUGCCGGAAGAGCAUCAGACACACGAAACUAAAAAUCCCACGCAAAAACCACCAAAUAGUGAUCAAGAAUGGUCCAAGGGCCCCGGAGAAAGCCUGGAAAUGAUCCUCACAGUCAUCAAGAAUAGCCAAGAAGAAUUAUUAUUCAAAAUCCACCAUACGAAAUCGAUCUGUCGGCUUCCACAUCACUCAGAGACGAUUGUACAUAUAAGGGAUAUCUACCUGCUUCCCAACAAGAUGAAUCACAAGAGUCUGAUGCUUUGAUUCACAAAGCUUAUUCCGAAAAGGAUCGGAUGUAUUCAAAUACUGAUCUCCAUUUUGACGAGUCAUGAAAAUUUAGAGGAUAACUGUCGGUCUUUUUAUCAAAAUCAUUAGAUAUUCAUUUUAAGCAAUUUGAUAAUUUAUUUAAAAUAAAAAAUUGAAGGGUCUAGAUUAAAUAAGCGAAUAAGUCAUUUCACAAAUUAAAAUUAAUUUUUUGUUAGUUUCCAACAGUAACUUCAGUUAAGGGUGGGAAAUCGGUUUAGCCGAUUAUCCGACCGAGUCGGUUAUAUGUUUAUUUAAACGAACCAGAAGUCAGUCAGGAACAGUUGAAACUAAUUACUAAAGUCGGUAAAUCGAUUAAAACCCUCAAUUAACUGUUAACCGACUUAACCGGUAACAAACAAACAAAAAUCCUAACACCCAAACGCCGUCAGCCUACUAUUACUACCCAGCCAGUACCCACCAAAAAUCAAAAUCAAAAUCCCUUACCCAGUUCCCCUUCACAAUCUCGACCAAGUAGGAUCGUCGAUCUCUGUCAUGUUGAGUCUCCUCUCUCACUCCCAAGUCCAACCAACGAACUACUCAACUGCGACGGCAACUGCGAGUAGCAACAAGCUCUCAAUCUUGGCCACUCCACUCGGCACGGCGAGGCUCGGUCAGCAGCAGCAACACCCAUCUCUCGAUUCGAAUCUCGACCUCGAUCAAAUCUCCUCUCCCAGUCGACGAGCUACUUGUCGGCGACGGCGAAUCCGCAAGCAGUAACACCCAUCUCCACUUUCCAUUCUCGACCUCUACUCUUCUCAAUUAACCGAAGACUUACUCGGCGACGGCGCGUUCGUUUUUCCUUGGGCCUAGGUUAUUUGGGUUAACUGACUAAUCGGUCGGUUAAGAGUUGAUGAAUUAACGGUACGGUCGGUUAAUGGUCGGUUAUUUAACCAUUGAGAUUGGUCGGUCGGUUAAAACAGCUAAUCAAUUUCGAUGAUCAAUGUUAUUCAGAAUAUAAAUCGUGUCGUGUUUUGUUAUAGGCGGUACUUUAAAUUACUAUUUUGUAAUUUUAUGAAUCUUUAUGUUCCGUUGAUAGUUGAUUUUUUUGUUAUAUAAUUGAUUUUUUAUAUAACGAAAGUCACCUCCUUAACGAAAAUCCUGACUAGAAUCCUGACUUCGCCUCUGUUGAUAAGUUUUAAUUUUUUUUAAAUGAUACUCGUUUGAACAAUACAUGAGGUCGGGAUUAAAUUGUGUACUCAUUUUCCUCGAUCACCGAAGCUCAUUUCAACCUCAAAUUUUAUACACAUGAAAUCAACCCAUCAUUUUCAAAAUGAACAUAAUAUAAAAAAUCUAGCACAUAAAGACGACGAAUACGUAUAAAUACGCACAGUACUGUAUGUAAUGUCAUCAACGAAAAACAAAUACGAAAGCCAUAAGCAACUCCAGCUAGGUGAUGCCAAUUAGUGGGUCGGAUGCCAUCAUAUAUAUUACACAGAAUGAAAGGAGCUAUCUAUCUAGUAGUAAAAACUAAACAUCAGUAAAUCACUUAUCAUGAAAAUUCUGAUCCCAUCAAUAUAAUUGUUGAGAAGGAAACAUAUAUGGCCCCCGACAUGUAUCUUGUGUUGGAGAGAGGCCACACACUCAAAAGCUCAGCGUCAAUUCACCAACAAAACGCUGUACAUGUCAUUAGGAAAUGCUGGGUGAGAAGGGAGCAUGCUCCACUGAAAAGACAAAACAAAGAGAUAAAAAGAGUAUUUUGUUUUUGUUUUGGUCAGUAAUUGAAUCAUGUCGUCCUCCUUUCUGUUUUACAACACUUGCACGACUGAAUAGUGAAUAGUUAUUAUUAGUAGUAGUGGUACUAAUAAGGAGCUUCUAUAAUAACUUCAUGUGGCUACAACUGCCUCCCAAUUAUAUAUGCCAAACCAAAGCUGCCUUUCUCAAAGAAGAUCCAAGUUCAUGUUCCCUCUAUCUACCACCUACUUCUUCCUAUAUAAGUAGCCGCCGUUGAUUAUGACAUUAUUCUUGCGUUUCCAAGCGUUAUCUGUUUAACUGGUGGAAUGUGAAAAAGAAUUUAGAUGAAAAUAAAAAAAUUAAUUUCCAAAAUGCACUUCUCUAUAAUCUUAAUUUUCCCAAAUUCCACCCGCCAAACAAAUCUUCUAGCUCAUUUUAUAAUAAAUAGUGAUUGUGAAAAAAUACUUGAAUUAGGAAAUAUAAAGAUUCCAAAUGAAAUUGUAUUUCCCGACCUUUUCAAGGAAAAAAUAAACUUUCUUAAUAACCGAUUAAUUUACUGAAUCUCUAUUUGAUGCCCUAAAUNNNNNNNNNNNNNNNNNNNNNNNNNNNNNNNNNNNNNNNNNNNNNNNNNNNNNNNNNNNNNNNNNNNNNNNNNNNNNNNNNNNNNNNNNNNNNNNNNNNNNNNNNNNNNNNNNNNNNNNNNNNNNNNNNNNNNNNNNNNNNNNNNNNNNNNNNNNNNNNNNAUUGUUAGUGAGUAAUUAGGAUAAUUAGAUAAUUGUUAGUGAGGGUUUAGGAUUUUGUUAGGAAUAGUAAGUGAAUUUAGUUUAGCAUAAUGCGAAUUUUAUUAGAAAUGUUCAUUUGUUUAAAUGUAGUUUGCUGAAAAAGAUGGCGAAGACAAAAGGUGGAGGUAAAUCGUACAGUCAAGAUCCGGUAGAGAAAGAAACUGAUGGGAUCCAAAACAUGAGAGGGAAAGCAAAGCAAGCAGGCAUUUUAGAUCGGAUGAAAGAGUGAGUGAUCACCGCUUCGAGGCGGAAAGAGGGAGAGGCCGCGAAGAAGAAUAAGAAGUUGAAAAUCUACGGCUCCCCUGACCGGUACCCUCUUGUUACGUACUCGAUUAGGGCAUUUCCGGAAGAUGACGACGAGGAUGAGGGUCCACCACCGGGGUUUGAGUACGAGGAGACACCGACUUUCGUGCACAUGAGUUCUCUACACACGGCUUCUCUACACAGCGCUUCUACAGGCGCGUCACAUGCCUCCGCGAGUGUUCGCUUUAGAGGAGGAAAACCUAGCCAACUUGCACCGGUAUAGGAGGAGGAGGCUGCUAGUGGAGUGGACUAGGAGGGACUCAGUUGUACUUGGGAGCUUACAGCAGGGAUUCCAGAUGAUGGACCGAGGAGGUCGACAAUGAUCCCCAACUUUGGGGGUCACAUUGCACAUUACUUGUGGCAGUCUAGAGAUGGAUACAGCGAUCUGAAGAGCUUCUGGUUCUUGAAGCGCCCUAAACAAUGGGACACGGUGAGCGACUUCGACAUCCAGACGAAGAGCAUUUGGCCGAUCAUGUAGGAGUCGAGACUUCUUCACUUGGGCUAGUGCAUGUCGACCCACUUUGAUGAGUCUUUUCUCGAGGCAUUUGUUGAGAGGUGGCUGGCCGAUACUAACACCUUUCACAUCCCGUAAGGGAGAUGACAAUCACUUUGCACGAUAUCUUCCACAUUCUCCGGGUCCCGGUGGCUGGAAGACCGCUUCAUAAACCCCAAGCUCUUGUUGAUUUUAGGGCGGGUGUGAUGUGAUUUGGCUUCACCUCAAUAACAUGGAUCCCCGUGAUGUGAUUUGGCUUUCAUUUGGGCCUCACCCUGAUGUCGAGGUUCCCGAGUCGACUUUUCGUGGACUCAUUUGCUGAGCCGACGUUGGUGAGUAAUACGAUUCCUACCGUAUGCUCAAACAUUUCGGGUACAUGCUGAUUGUCCCUCCCUUGAUUAUUGUGUCGCUACGGGCUAAUGGGCCCCGCACGAUUCGGAACUAUGCGGUCCAGUGGGCCCCGCACGAUUCCACUCGCCACCUACGACCCGACACCUCACUGCCAGUUUGAAGGGGCAGUCACAGUUCUUCGUCUUCGUAAUCCAUUUCGGCGGGUCGGAACAUGAGGAUUUACGAGAAGGUCCCCGGGAGCAAUAUAGAUACACACGGUACUUUCACUCUGCGUUUUUUAUUUUGUUGGAACCUUUAGUCAACUUGAAGUUAAGCGUUUGGGUAAUUCGCUUUGCCACUUCACAAGCUUCCUCGGCAUUAUCGUACACAUCGUCGGAUAAAAAGUGUUCGGUGUAAUUGAUUACGUCACCCUUACUCACCGAUGAAUCUUGCAACAUUAAAACACACAAAACAUACGCUUUAUUUAUCGAUUAUCUACACAAUUUCGUAUUAAUUCAAUUAUUUCUACAACAAAAUUAUCGACCACUUACAGAAUUGCUCAUGUCGAGUUAUUGCAUCCAAUGAAUGUUAAAACCAUGUGAAGAAUGUGAUUAUCUGAAAAAUUACUAAAGGAGAUCGUUAAAAAAUAAAAAAAAAUCGGCCAGAGGACCACCCGACGGGACCGAAACUUCGGCCGAGAAGCCUCCCGGCCGGCCGCGGAUUUCGGCUGGGAACAUUGCGGGCCGAAACAGCCGGCCGGCCCGGGCUACCUGCGGCCGAAAUCCACCACCGACCGGGAUGCUUGUCGGCGAAUUUUCGAUCCCGCCCUCUAAAAUUCACCAAAUUGUAAGGACACACGUACCGUGAGAGAGGUUUUCGAAUGAGUAAUUCGGAUAGUUUCGUUUUUACAAAAAAAUUCGAAUAAGUAAAUUUGGAUAGUUUCGUCUUUACGAAGUUUAGGGCGUCAUUUAAUUCAAAAGUUAGGGCGUCAAAUAGUAAUCCUCUUAAUUUAACAUUCUUUUCACAACCUUCCAAUCCAAUUAUCUUUCACCAUUUCAGUCAUAAAUUAACUUUUCUAAAAAUCAUGAUUCCUAGAUUGUCUCUACCUCAAUUCAACGACUUUCCAUCAUCUUGACUUAACUUUUCUAAAAAUCAUGAUUCUCGUUGCUAAACCAAAUCGUCGUCUCCCGAAACAAUGAGAUACGAACAUACCGGAAAAUUUUCCAAUACAUAGAGCCUCCUCAAUUUCAUAUAAGAAAAAGUUGUGGUUUUUAUGUCAUCCAUGACUGGACUUUUGGCAAACCUCAGGACAGGAGAGCAAGAAAAAAGCCUUUUCUUUCUUGUCGAGCAAAGCAAACCAACACAAUAAUAACGGGUCAAAAUGGACCCAACAACUACUAAGAAGUGUCAGCAAUUAGGAAUAUGGCUUUGUAAUGUUAAAGAAAACACUUCCCAAUGCAUGCAUGCAUAUGCCUGUUCACAUUCACAUCAACAACAAUCUUUAGUUCAAGUACAGAGCUCGCACCAGUCUAACUCUAUAUUGCGCAGAGCGAUAGAGUAUUGGUACAGAGAACAACAGCAUUAUCUAGCCGUCCGUUUCUCCAGCUCCGCCCUUGAGAUGUAGAUGCUUCUCCCUUUUCUGGAACUCUGUUAAUCCUUUUCCACUCCCCGUCACACCAACCUUGCCAUGAGGAUCAUCGGGCGACUUAAAUAUGCUUUCUCGUUUUCGGCCUGAGAAGAAACCAACCUGGAAGAUGGAACAGUUUACAUAUAAAUUGCGAGCUCCAUACAUAAAGAAGGUAUUUCCAAAAAACAUACCUUCUUUGUCUUCCCUUUAGUUGUCUGAAACUGCUGCCAAGCAUUCUGCCGCUUAUUUUGUGCAACUUCAAGCUUUUCUACUCUCAUCUUCGACUUAAAAGCAUGUAUCUUCUUCCGCUUUGUAGCUUUCACAUCCUCGGGAUCAUCAGGUUCUAUACGAAGCUUUGCUGGCAAAGUACGUGACUCAAAAUCAACUGAACCAGCCUGUGCAAUUUUCCUUUUGAUGGCCAGUUUUGUAGCUUCAGCUACUCUUUCAGCCUCCACUAAGGCAUUGGUCUCAACUGGUCUAACAUUGUCAGGAUCCACCUGAAAAUCACCAAUCCACCAGCAAUUAAAAUCUCGUCCAAGUCAGUUAAGUAUGAGGGCAAUAGUAUUAUUCUGACAUGGAUGUAUUCACAAAGAUGCGAACCGAUCCAAGUGAAGGAAUUAACUAAAAUGUACCUCUUCUUUGUUUCCCCAUCCAUCAUAAGCAACAUAAUAGCCGUUAGGAGUGAUAGCCUCAAUUGUUCCAUCAUACCUGAACAAUUAACUAAUCAAACACAAAAAGAAGGUAAAGUAAUGCUAGGAAAGGGAACAAGUAUCGGCCAAUAUAAGUUGCGCAUGACCUAUCAACGUACCAUUCUCCAUCCUCGCUAUAGACUGCUUGAACUCUAGAGCCCACAGGAAACCUCUCAAGAUGAUCAGGGUUGUCAGUUAAUUCCUAAUAGAGAAGGAAAACUAGUUAUUUACAAUUAAUACAAUGGCAGAGACUAAUGAUUACAUUUAGUGAUUUAGAGAAGCAUGUUGUAAUCAUUUGGGGAUACUUUCCUUUUAAACAUACAGGUUAGCUUGGAACUAUGAACUUGAAUAGCAUACAUGGUUUUACCAACCUUAGCUUGACCAAAAGUUGGAGAAACAUUACUUCCAGCACUAACAGCUAAUCCUGGAACCUCGUUCUGCUUUGCAGUGGCAAGGAGUUCUUCUGUCAAUGCAAUGACCUGCAAAACCAACACUGUUAGCGAAUUCUCAAUGAUAAAGGGCAGUAAUCCUACCAACUAAUUGUUAAUUGCAAUAUUUCUUAACAGAAAACAGAUUUCCAAACACAGCGAUGUAGAGAAUCAGCCUGGCCUUCAGAAGAUAUCUAGCACACCUGCAAAUGGACCAAGAUAAAAGUGAUGGGCAUCUUGAUGAAGUUUUCAGUUUCUGAAGUAGGUCCAUGUUAUAGAAAACUUUUCAUCAGAUAAAAAAUGCCCUCACCUUUUAACACCAACACGAAAUUAAAACACCAUGGACCAAUUAUCAGCUUAUUAAUGUUGGUUGACUGAGCAACAUUUUGAUUCCUUCAAGAGAGAGGAGAAAAAGAUAAAACAAAGAAUGGAACUAAACUUCACAAAAAAACCUAGCUGCUCUAAGAUACCAAACAUCCAAACUCCAUGCGGAGUGUACAGAACUUAAUUAUGGAAGACCUUGACAAUAGGAAAACAGCCAUUACACUGUCAACCUCUAACCAAACGCCAGACUCCAAUACCACGGUUAACUCCUCCAGACAUCCACCUAACCCUUGAAGAAAAAUGAAACAAACUGUAUCAAAUUUUUAUGUCAGCAGAUUACCUCGUGGAGUUCCUUCUCCAUGUCUGCAUAUUCAGAAUUCUCAGGUUCAUCGGCCAAAAGUUGACGGACCUGGUUUGCAAGCAAAGAGAAGAAUAUCAUGAGUCGCGCUAGAGGUUACAUAAACUAUCAUAAGGCUGGAAUAGUUAUACAAUUCUUGUGCAAUUGUCAACAAUUCUAACAGCACAUUACCAAAUAACAACGGAUUUUUAGACAGAAAGAUUUUCAAUCGGGAGGAGUAGGUUCAAUAAUCAGACAAAAAGAAGCUUCAUCUAGACAUGAACUAAUACAUCCAUAUUAGAAGCAGGUAUAUAUGUUAACAACGCAAUAAUUAAAUCACGACACCGUAGGAGGUUCUAAACACUCAGAGAUUCGAAAUAAAUUUGCAUUACUUGAUUGAAGUCUGACGAUAAAAGAUUAUAUAGAUGCAUAUCAGAUAUAUGAAAGCAUCGGAAUUUACUAUCCAUACAAAAUUCCCAACAUCGAGCUUCUCCAUAUUGCAUUCCAAGUGCCAACAAUGAGGACAAUAAACCCCAAUCAAACGAGCCUAAAUCACAGAAUUUGAUAGGAGAAACAGGUGAGGGAAGAGAGAGUGAGUUUACGGUAUCAAGCUGUUCUCUGUAAGUAGAGAGAUUGGAAGUCAGCUCUUCGAUGCUGAGUUCAUCGCCUUCUCCUUGCAUCAUGCCCCUCUCGAGCCUUAACCUUCUUCUUCACCAAAUUGAUCUUAACAGAGGGUUUUGGAAUUCUAGGGUUUCGAAACAAGAAAUUAGAUGCCCACCGUUUUUCUCCUUUCCCUCCGCAAGAUUCUAAUUCUCAAGUAAGACACCGCAGCAGGAAAAAAGCAAACAAUUUUUCCACCAAAAAAAAAAAGCAAAGCAAACAAUUUUUCCACCAAAAAAAAGCAACGAAUUUGAACCAAUUAUUAUAAUAAUUACAUAUUUGCCAACCCGGUUGCAAGUUUCAACAGUAUCCACAGUUUCUAAUUGGGCUCAACCUUUAGCAGGCCGACAUAGAUUGUACUUGGAUUAAAAUUUACAAUAUAUAUAUACAAGGCAAGUCCCACCCAAGCCCAAGGCUUUUGUCUGGACGAUAUUAAAACUUAUAAAAAAAACAGCAGAAUUAUUAAAACAAACCAAAAUUAUCCUAAGAUCAAUUAGAUCAUCAUCUAUAACACCAUACUAAAGUUAAAAAAAUUAUUUACCAUAUAACACAAUGGAUGAAAAAUUAAAUUAAAGUGAAAUUUUUUCUUUCUAGUUACCAUAUAUAUUAAAUUUAGGAGAUAAUUAUCACAACAAACUAAAUAAACCUCUAAAUUAUUUUUAUUACCUUACAUAUGCAAACAAAUCAUGGUAACAAAUUCAUAAUUAGUAAACUAUUUAUUGUUUUUAAUGGAAGAAUGGUGAAUAAUUAAAUACAAAUAUAACUGUUGGAUUCUCUAUUCAAAUAAACAUAGAAUUUAUUUAAUUCAGUUGAUAUGUUACCAUAUUCAUCAACACACUUCCACCUAUAUAAACCAACAACUCCAUAGGGAUAAUCCAUCAACCACUCAACACAUUCAAUUAUUAUAUAUUAAACCUUUAAAAAUUAAUCUUAACAAAACAAUAAAAGAGAGAGAAAUGGAGAAGGUUUUGAGUUCAUGUUUUAUUAUUGUCUUCUUAGUUCUCGCUUCUGGUACGUUGUAGCUAAUUGAUAUUUUAUAAGUACCAUUGUAAAUAGUUUUUAAUAUUAGAUUGUUUGCAGGUGUGACAGCGAGCAUGGGAGAAUUAGAAGGGAAAACGGAUGGCAUAAUUCCAAAAUGCAAAUGUCCUCCUUCACCAUGUCAUUGCUUUUAUGGAAUCUGCUUAUGCCCAGCGGGGCCAAGGCUGCCGGUGCCGGAGUCGCAAACAACGCAUUCUUAAACCUUAUUAAUCGUAUACAAGGGAUUAUUGGUUACAAGUUUUUCUUUUAUUAUGCUUCUUUUUAGUUUGUUACUCAAUGAUUAUUAUAAAUUAAUAAUAAUAACAAUUUAAUAUAUGUGGAUGCUAUAUAUGAUGAAUGUGGUGCUUGGUGUUAUGGUGCUUAAUACCUUUAUGAUGUUACGGCAUGCUUUAAGUCAAAUCAAUGAUAUUUUAUAUAUGAUAGUGUUAGGAUCUUGUUUGUAAAUAACUCAAAAUUGAAGAAAAGAUGGAUGUAGACCAAUUACAUCAAUUCAACUAUUUAUGUGAAGAUUAGAUUUAGAGACUUUUAUCAAACAUUUGGCGUGGAUUCGGAUUUGGACUUAUUUGACAAACUUAAGUGUAAUCCAAUUGUUUGAGUUUAAUGUGAUCGUAUUGCAAGUCUAGUUAAGUAUUUGUAAGGUCUUUAAAAUGAUCAUAUCACCUAGACAAUUUAUCAAACAUUGUGUUCAUUUUUUAGUCUCCUUAAAUAUUGAGUGUAGGCCAAACAUCAAUUGAGUAAUUAGUGAUGAUAGUUUAUAUGCAUGACAAUGUCACCAACUCCUUUGAUUUUCUAGUGAAAAUUUAUUAUCAUAACGAUGAUGUCCAACUUAAUAUUUUAGGUAGUUUGACAUUGAUCUCUUCCUUUCCAAAUAACAUACUUUGUCCAAUUUAAUCAACAUUUGUAUCUUAUUUGCUUUGCUUUGUUCAAUUAUUCAACCUUUCAUGGUUAGAACUACUCUUAACUAUAGGAACCAUUCCAAAUUUCGAAGCACUACUUAACAUCUGUUUGCAACUUUCGUUUUCAAGGCUCUUCUUCAAACGGUUUUCUUUUACGGCGGUUUUCCUCUAACGCGAUCUAAACGGUGACGGCAUGCGCUGCCGGAUCUUGGUUGUUUGCGCCUCCUCUCUGGCAACUCCCGCUCUUUCGGUGUCCACUACUUAACUUUUUUUGCAAUACACACCUCCCUGCUAUGCAUGAUUGUUUUCAAUUAGCCUUGGGUGCCUUACAACGUGGGGGUAUUUUACCCUUCCCCACUACUACCACUAAAUGGAUCUUAUCAUGACACUAGGCUCCUUAAUUCCAAAAAAUCAUCCCAUUCUUUAUGCUUGCCUCCUUUUCUGGGAAUUUCUACUUCUCUCAUAGAUCGGUUAUCUUGCCCCCUCUAUCGCUCAGAGAUGGCUGCCCCAGCGUUUAUAGUCUCUACAUAUGAUAUUGUUGCAGACAGGCACCUCUUUUCCCAAAGCCUACUUGCGAAAUUCUUCUGGGAAGAUCCGCGUCCUCUCAAACUGGUGCAAGCAACGAUUAGUCGCUGGAGGCUGGUCGGAUCGGUUCGUAUUUCCCUGAAGGUGAUGGGUGUUGAAAGUAAGUAAUCAACAAUUUAGAGUAUUCUUUCUCUAGAUCACUUCAAAAAAAUAUCUCAACUACUCAACUAAACUAAUUAAUAUGUUUUAAUAACUAAACUAGUCCUAGCCACAAACUAAACCUACCAAACGUGCUAGUAUCUUCCUAAGGAGGUUGUAUUGUCCUAUAAAUGUGAAGUCUCACUUUAGGCAAGUGUGAAGAGUAAAGAAAACAAAGUGUAAGCAAAGCAAAAGUGAGCAAGAAGAAGUAGAGAGCAAAUUGUGCGAGUGAGGGAAUUGGUCAAGUGACCAAAUUAUAAUAUUUACAAAAUUGAGUGAUCAAUUGAGUGAGUUAUCAAAAUACUAUCUUUUCGAUCCUAAAUUUCGCUAUAUUUCCGCUAGCGCCCCAACAAAUUUGGUAUCAGAGCUAAUGUUAUACCGAGUAUGCUAUGUGGUUGCGGUUUUAAUAAUUGAUCUUCCACAUCAUAAAAGUUACACUUUAGUACUUUGAUAACCGUAUUAUAACCUACCCUCACAAAACCCUCUCAAAACCUCAACCAAAAGAAUCUCCUCAAAAUCCUAUGGCAGCACCAUCGUCAAGUUCCAUGCUCGCCAACUCUCCAAAUCAAAUCCCAAUUUUUGAUGGCCAAUUUUUAUGGAGAAUUGUACGAAUACGAAUAUUGGAAAGUACAAACUAUCUUCAUUUCACAAGACUUGUGGGAUAUUAUUCAAGAUGGCAUCGAACAAUCACUACAAUAAGACGACUCCACAUCGAUCGGGAAAAUGGCGGAAUCGGCAAAAGAUGACGAAGACGAAGGAAUAUAAGGAGAAUGUCAAGAGGAAUGUCAGCGUAUUGAGGAUAAUUCAGCAAGCUGUGAGCAAAAUAAUAUUUCCAAGAAUUUUUUACUUCAAAUCAGCCAAAUAAGUUUGGGAAGUCCUGAAGAACAAAUUUCAAGGUCCGAGAAGGCAAUCUCCAUAUAACGCCAAAAUCUAUGGCGUCAAUUUUACAACCUGGGGAUGAAGGAAGGCGAAACUAUCAUAGACUUUCAUUCUCGUGUUGUAGAGAUAGUGAACCAGAUCAAAGUCACUAGAGAGACUAUCAACGAGAAGAAGAUCGUGGAGAGGAUCCUUCGCAUCCUAACGCCAAAGUUUGAACACGUCGUCGCUGUCAUAAAAGAAAUAAAAGAUCUUGGAAAAUUACCCAUGAUGGAGCUUACGGGAUCACUUGUAGCUCACGAGCAGAGAUUGAGCCGGUUUACCAACCAACAACUCGAACAAGCUUUUCAAUCCAAGGUUGACAUCAAAGGAGACAAAUCAGGAAAUUAGGAGCAGAACCGCAAAGGGGGCAACUUUUAGAAAAAAGGAGGAAAACCAAAUUUCAAGAAAAAACAGAAACUGGAGCCAGAAUCAGGAGAAAUCAAGCAACUCCAACGACGGAUGCAAAAUUUGNNNNNNNNNNNNNNNNNNNNNNNNNNNNNNNNNNNNNNNNNNNNNNNNNNNNNNNNNNNNNNNNNNNNNNNNNNNNNNNNNNNNNNGAGAUUGCUGGUUCCAAAACAAGAAAGAAGAACGCGAUUCAAGCUUUGCACAGAAGGACAAAAAAAUGGUCGCAUACACUGGCUUCAAAGCCGAGCAAAAAUCUCAACUUUCAUGGGGCUGGACAGCGGUUGCAGUAAUCACAUGGAUGGAGAUCCAGAGUCCUUCACCGAGAUGGAUGAUACAUAUAAGUCGAACGUGAAUAUUGGAGACGGUAAAAAAUUGGAAGUGGAAGGAAAAGGUACAAUCAUCAUACAAGGAAAGGGAGGUAACAAAACUCUAAUCCAAGAAGUUUUGUACGUUCUUGAACCAGCUCAAAAUCUUCAGAGUGCUGGACAACUAAUGCUUAAAAAUUAUAAGCUAUUGUUUGAUAACGGGCAAUGUGAGAUUAUCAACAAAUCCAAUAACUCGAAGGUGGCAAAAAUUUUGAUGAGUUCCAACAGGAUGUUUCCUCUCACAAUGUUGAAGAAUGAAGAAAUAGCAAUGAAGAGCCAAAGCAUGGAUGAAUCUUUCCUAUGGCAUCUCCGAUAUGGUCACCUAAACUACAACGGGCGUAAAUUGUUGAAGCAGAAAAAUAUGGUGGUUGGCCUUCCCCAAAUCAACAGAGAAGAUAAGGUCCGUGAAGGAUGCAUAUAUAGCAAAAUACAUCGCUUGCCAUUUCCAAAAACCACUUGGAGAGUAAAAGCACCAGUAGAGUUGGUACACGCCGACAUAUGCAGACCAACCAGAACAGCAUCCAUAGGUGGUAAGAGAUAUUUUCUACUAUUUUUGGAUGAUUAUACUAGAAUGAUGUGGGCAUUAUUUCUUGAGCAAAAGUCAGAAGCUUUCUCGAAGUUCCUUCAAUUCAAAGUAGCAGCUGAGAAGGAAAGCGAGCAUCAAAUCAAGACACUCCGAACAGAUUAUGGUGAAGAGUUCAUCUACAAACCAUUUAUAGAGUACUGUCGCACCAACGGAAUCAAGAGGCAGUUGAUAGUGCGGUACACACCACGACAAAAUGGUAUAGUAGAACGAAAGAACCGUCAAUUGUGGAGAUGUCAAGAAGCAUGAUGACUGCUAAGAAAAUUCCCAACCAACUAUGGGCGAAGCUAUCAAUACAACAAUCUACAUACUCAACAGAUUGCCAACCAAGUAGUGAAGACAAAACACCUUUUCAAGCAUGGCAUCACAAAAGGCCGCAAGUGGAUCACCUCAAAGUAUUUGGAUGCAUAGCAUAUGCACACAUCUCUACCCCAAAUCGAGACAAGUUUGACGAGAAGGGAGAGAAGCUCAUUUUCAUCAGAUAUAGUGAUGAAUCCAAAGGUUAUAGACUCUACAAUUCAUUAAAGAAUGAGGUGGUGAUUUCACGAGACAUUAUCUUCAAAGAAAUGGCCGAGUGGAGCUGGGAGACUCAUGAUACUCAAUAUCCAUCAACAAAUGAGAUCCUAGAGAAUCCAACAACUACACCAACAACACCAAAUGAGGCGAAUCAAAAUCCAAGAUAAGGAAGAAGUCCAACGAGAGACAACUUCAGAGACAUCGUGAGAGAUUCAGACUCACCUCCAUUAUAGGUCAGAUCCUUAAGAGAAAUUUAUGAAUCAAGUCAUGUAGCAUAUUUUUCUUGUGAACCCCAGACAUUUGAAGAAGCAGCAAAAGGAAAAAUAUGGACAGAAGCAAUAGACACAGAGAUCUCAAUGAUCGAGAAGAACAAAACUUAGGAGCUUGUGGAAAAACCAAAUGAUAAGCCGGUCAUAGGUCUAAAAUGGAUCUACAAAAUAAAAUUUAAUGAAGAUGGUUCCAUCUAGAAGCACAAAGUGAAUUGGUGGCAAAAGGAUAUUCACAGCAGCCUGGCAUCGACUUUCACAAAAACUACGCACCAGUAGCACGGAUGGAGACAAUCAAUACAGUCAUAGCACUAGCAGCUCAAAUGGAGUUACCAAUAUUUCAGCUAGACAUCAAGUCAGCAUUCCUCAAUGGAACACUAGAAGAAUAAGUCUAUGUGGAACAACCACGAGGAUACGAGAAGGAAGGAUAACAGGACAAAGUUUAUCGACUCAAAAAGGCACUCUACGGUUAGGUUUCUAACCCUGCCUCUCGAUUAUUCAUUUUUUGACUAACCUUGGUUCUAAUUUCAUGGGCCAAGAUUUGGGCCUGUUUUGUGUGGGAUCAAAUGGAGCCCAAUACACUAAUCCCUUCCCCACUCGUGGAAUAGAUCCUCUGGGAGCCCAAUGUUACUGCUACUAAUUUAGUGGAGGUACAAAUAAUGGACUGCUUUAUUUCUAAUUAUAUCUUUGAGUCUUUGAAUGUUACCACCCAAUUGGGCUUGCAGGUAACUUCCAAAAAGAGGUCAGCUCCUUCUCCCAUGUACACACUGCUGCUUGUACUUCUGGGCCGGGCCACAAAGCUCUUGUUCCAUUGUCAGAACCAUCACUCAAGCGAUUGGAACCGACUGGACCGGUUGGCUUGGUGGCCACCAUGCCAGAGCACAUCAAAUUUCCACCGAGAUUCCGUCACGCUACACCAAUUCCAACCGCAAUUCAACGCCAACCAUUGGUGGGUGACUCAUCUAAGGCAAAACGGGCAAAACACUCAGCCCCAACACAAUCCCUGGCGGGAAGUCACUUAGACUCUAUCGUUCCUCCACCUGAGCUUCUGCUGGGAUGUUGGUUUCAGCUGCGGCACUUGAUGACGGCGAGCGCGUAAAUGACAGGCUCGCCGAUCCGUAAUGAACGCACUACCUUGGAACUGUAGAGGCCUGGGCAGAACAUCGACAGUUCGGGAUUUGAAGGAUCUCGUCCGAUUUACUAGGCCAAGCUUUCUUUUUCCUUUCUGAAACUCGUCUAAUGGACUCCACUAGUAUAUCUCGCUUAGAGGAUUUUGGAUUUUCAUUUGCUACUUCUGUUGAUGACUCUUCGUCUGGAAGUGUUAUAGCCUAUGCUAGCUUAUACGCAGAUGAAUGUUAUGUCAUGUUCUCUGAACCAUUUUCUAUUUGCAUCACUUAUGAAGCCCCAAUCGUUUAUUUACUUUAUUGGCGUCCAGUUGUCAACGAAUUAUCAAAUUCGAUAUGUCAGUACGACUUCCUUGUAGCUGAACUUGACCAUUUAGAUGAACUGGUUCUCAUUUGUGGGGACUUCAAGAAUGUCCUGGUUCCUUCAGAAAAGGAAGACGUUCUCCCUCCCACUCCAGAUCAACUCGCUCGCUUUAAUGACUUUGUAAGUAAGCUAGGACUUGUCGACUAGAGGUUUGAGGGACCCAUUUCAACAUGGUCCAACGACCAGACAGGACGUGGGAAGUGAAGAAGCGCCUAGACCGAUGCCUUGCCACUCCCACCCGGUUAGAUAUAUGGUCUAAAGUAAAGUUUUCCAUUUGCUCCCACUCUCGUCCGAUCACCAGCCGAUACACCUCAUUACCACCGUUUCACCGUCGGUUUCCAAACUACUGUUCUGGUUUUAUUGUCGAUGAGCGGAUAACCCAUAAAUUACUGGUCUCGUAUCCCACUUUUGGCAAACUGAUACACCAGGACUCUGAUGUUCCGUCUUCAUCACCGCCUCUAGAAUGUUCACAAAGAGCUUUUUGACUGGAGUCGAGCUGGUACCUAGAACUCGGCUAGGCUACUACACGACCUCACCUCUGCCCGUCAACAGCAGUCUGUUGAAUGGCUGGAAGUUCACCGCCUCGAGAUUGCGCUCGCAGCCACUCGAUCCCACGAUGAUUUGUAUUGGUGCCAGAAAAGACGUUUUGACUGGUAUCAGGCAAGGGAUUGUAACACAACCUUUUUUCAUCGCUAAGUUUCAGUCACCAAAAAGCGUAAUUGAUGACACUCGAUUUGUCAUGUUCAUUGCCCUCGUUUGAGAAAUAUUCCAUGCAUAUUAGUAUAGUUUUGAAUAGAAGUUUAGGAUGUUUUGCACAUUUCUAGGUUUUGUCUCGAUUUAGUGUCUCGGGCCCGUUUGGGGUCCUUUCGAUGUCAUUGUAGAGUUUUUUGUAAGAUUACAGGUACAUGACGAUGUCAAGGCACUAUUGGAGCGAUACGGACAUGCAUGGACGAGCUAGGGCGGGUCAAGAAGUGAAGAAAUCACAAAGGGCUGCACGUUGUCAAGAUUGGCGCUAUAGAAUGUCAACGUUGACCAUUUAUAGCGGCAAUGUUGACACCCCUUUCUGAUUAUCAAUUCUAUAGAAUGUCAAAGUUGGCGCUAUGGCUAGAGCACUAAUAUUGACACAAGACCAUAGCGCCAAUAUUGACAUUCCGCAAUUGGAAGGAAUUUUUAGAACUCCUAUUUAAAGCCCGGUUCUCUCUCAUUCAAAGACAUACUACCCUAGAAGAAAUUGAGAGAUUUGAGAGUGACUAAAAGGAAACUUCAAGGAGUUCGGAAUUGGCGAAGUAAUCAAGACGGUGUAUCAAGUUCUUCGGGAAGAUCGGGGAAAUUAGGUUUUUCUCAUAAUUUUUUGUGUAAACCUAGAUUCAAUGUCUUCCUCCUCUGAUUUUGAUUUUUCUUUCGUGAUUACGAGCAGCUAAACUUCUCCUGCGUAGAUUAGAUGAACCCUAGGUUAAUUCCUAUGAACGAACUAUUUGAUACGUUUGACGAUUUAUGCGAGUUGGAUGGAUUUCAUUGCGUACUUGAUUUCAUUUUCGAUUAGUUCUUGCCUGAUCAACUUGAAUGAAUCUCUGUUAGACUUGUCUCAGACUCGCGCGAGCUUGCACGUUUAGAACACCGAAACCAAAUAACUAGGUUAAACGUUAACCCUUAUCCUGUAGCGAAUGAACUAGUCAGUCGUAUGAGCAAUUCUAAAUCGGUAAAUCAGUUAGCGGGUUUUAGAUAGAAUACUAUAUAGGUAGCAAAUUAGCGAACCCAAAAGGGCGUGAUUUGAUUAGAGAAGAAUUGCGACAUUCAAGGUCACCGGUCACCGUCUCAAGCGCUAUCUCAUUGCCAAGCCUACCGAUGGAGUCGAAGUUCAUUACUUCGAGGAUGUUCAAUGAAAGGCCAUGUAUCGCCUAGCUCAAAGACGUUAAAGAAAGAGCGCUUCAUGGGAGGCAGCCCAUGUCUGGAGUUAGUCUUUUGCAUUUUAUUUGAGUUAAAUUAUAUGUUUAGGUGUUAGAUCGAGUCUAGAACAUGAUACUUUAGUCCCUAGCCUAUCUUGAAUAAGUGGUGUGAAAAGGGUUGAUUUUUUCUUGAAAGGGUCGAAUUUGUGUGUUGUGUGGUCAAUAUUGGUGCUAUGACUAUAGAGCCAUUAUUGAUCAUUCAUAGCACCAAGCUUGACAGGGGUCUCUAGAAACUUAAAAAAAUUGGCGCUAUAGAUAGUCAAAGUUGGCGCUAUAGGCUAUAGCGCCAAUAUUGACAUCAGCCUAUAGCGUCAAUGUUGACACCGAAAUCGCGAUAGGAGCCCCUUCUGCGCGAAAUUUAAAACUGUUGUCGCACCCAAACCCGUACUUAAACCUUCACCCACUAUCGCUAUCCACCAUCUCCAUGUUUCCAUCGAGCCCUCGCUGGAUACUGGUGACCGCCGCCGAGCCUUCCCACAAUGAUUUGAUUCAUCAUUGAUUGUGUUUUGAGCUUGUUUGGUACAAUUUCGUAUGAUUUUAUCCAAUCUCCCGAAAUUGCUUGUUGCUACUCCAUUGUUCUCUUCCAAUCAUGGUGAAUAGAAGGUACUAACCUUAUGUGUCUAUGCCUAGCUUUAUAUUCGGUUACUUUAUUCUGGAUCAGUCAGAUUUGUGAGAUUGAUGAUUAGGUUUAAGAAUCCUAAUUUUUCGAGUUUGGGAUUUUGUGAAAUUGAUAAUGCUAGUGAUAUGAUUUUCCCCCUUAAAAUUGCAUGAUUAAGUCGUUGAAAUGAGGAUUUUUGCUAUGUAUAUUUAGGGUAUUUUCCGGGUAUGAAAAGUGGUGAACUUUUCCUUGUCUUGCAUUGCUUGUGUGACUUUGUGGAUUGUUUCUUAGUGUCAUAUGCUUCAUUUGGAAUGCCUUGAAGAUGUUGAACUUGAUUUAUGAUGCCGAUUGUCUAUUUGUGAGGGUUAUUCACUAAUGGUUACUUAACCAAUUCUUAUCUUUUGCUACAAAUUUAUGCACAUUAAAGUGUGGGGUGAUUUGUUUGUUAACCUCAAUUGCUUUGAGUUUGUUUCUCUAGGCUUCAUGCUCGUCACAAUAGCUCCUCUAGUCGAGAGGAAGCUUCUUCAUCACAACUGGAGCCACAACAAUCACUUGCCAUGGAGAUUGAUGAUGAGGGUGAGCCUGUUGAAGAUGCUCAUGUGGUGAUCCCGGAUAGGCAUGAUCUAGGAGUACAUGACUACCAUCAAUUCCUCCACCACCUCACCAUCAAAGAGUGGACAGCCUUUUGGAAGCGCUUCCAUAAUUUUUAGCUGGCUCCCACCAAUGUCUUCGACCUUGAGGGAAUUCGAGCUUUGAAUCCCGCUUGGAGUGCUCGAGCGGAGGAACUCCUUUGGAAAGCAGGGAUCUUGGAGUUUCUCACCUUUUCAGGUUCACCGAUGCUCGUUCCACUACAGGAGUUUUGGAGCUCCUUCUCUUUCAAGGCUAGGAAGAGUAAGGUAAACAGUACAUGCGUUUCUUACUCUUUGGGAGGAUGUGAUUACAAUGAGACUUUGGAUGAUUUUUCUACCUCUCUUGGAUUCAUGGGGCCAUUUUCUAGGUUUUCCAGGCCUCACAUUUCACCUAGCGAGACCCGUGAUGCGAUCGACAUACACAUCCAUAGGUAUUGGAGUAAGAUCACCAAUGAUAGUGAAGAAUGGAUUCCAGGUUCAUAAUCCUUCACUCUGAUAGUGGAUCAUUUUUUUCAUCUCAUCAACUUGGUUUGGCGCCAAUGUCUUGCAUGGCGCAAUGUUGAGGAUCGCAAAGGCCAUCAUGUUUCGAAGGAUGAGAUGAUGUUCUACCGAGCCAUAGGUCAUGAGAUGCCGCUCCAUCUGGAUUAUGUGGUCGCUCAGUUCUUCAUUCGAGAUGGAAACGAUUGAGGAGAUUUCUGCCUUGUGGUGCAUUUGUGGCUAGGAUCAUUGAGACAAAGGUCCUUCGCGGGAACAGGAGGAAUGCAGAUGACUUGGAGCUCUACUCAGCUAUUAGGAUGGUCGGCACCGAUAUCAUUCGUACUAUACAGUUGGACCUCUCCAAGGAGUGCCUCACCCGCAUCGAGAUCGACACACACCACUAUAGGCAUCUGGUGCGGGAGCCACCAGCAGCACCAGUAGUUGUACAGGCCCCCACCUGCGGGAGAGGUGGGAGGCAUCCUCGAGCACGUGUCCGAGUUGGAGCAGUGGGGGAGGCUGAGGCUGAGGCUUUUCACCAUCCCGAUCAACAGGAGCCAGCAGCAGCUUAGGGCACCUUAGUGCCUGAGUUUAUUCAAUGAUUGUUGGAUUUUGACCACCACAACCACCACCACCACAUGGACACCCUAAACCACCGACGAAGUUUGCUGACAUGAUGAGGUCAGUCCAGCAGUGACAGAUCAGCUUUGGAUAGGGCUGUCUUCCAUGGCAACAACAGCAGGCAGCUUGGCAAACAUCAUUUAAUCUGAGACAGCGACCUUCUUAGAUUGAGCAGAGGAGAGUGGAGCAGGAGCACCAUGAUGAGCAGAACCGCUACAUGCGCUACCUCACUCAGUGUUAGACCAGAUAUUUGAGCCCACCACACUCACCUCCACCGAAAAACUACUGAUUGAGUAUUAUAGUUCUUUCUUUUCGAAUACUAUACCCACUUUAUUAUGUGUGGGUCUUGGACACUUGUCCUAGUCCCUUUUUUAAUUUUAUUUUUUGGUUUUGGGUGUAUUUGAGUGUUUCAGAAGUUAGCGUCGCCACCGAGUCUGAACUCGUUUGGACGCUCUUCCUUGUGGUCCUAUAUGACUCGUUUGAGGAAGCGAGCGAUCGGCUUGUCUCCAUUUGGGUCGCCUAUAGUUUUGAGACUAGUUUACUUAUGGUUCUUCGUCCUCGCAAACGUUCACCAAUUUAUCCUCAAUUAUUAUGAUGUGGUUAAUUUGUGCUUCUAGUUCGAGCAUGGUUACAGGUGCCUGGCAGGUGAUUGAUUACCUCAAGUGCCUAUUGUGCGAAGAUUUCAGGAGACUUGCGUUGACGAGGUCGGCGUUCACGUUCUUUACCGAUUAUACCACGUUGGUCCAUCGAUCAUAGAAGGCUUUCAGUCUCUCCAUGUUUCUGUCUGAGUUUCACCAGCGCGGAGAAGGGGACUUGUAUGAUUCUCUUGCCGUGUCUCGAUGAUUCCUUCAGGGAGAGGUUCAUGUAUCAUUCCCUAGUGGCAGGGAAUUAAUUAAUGCAUUUAAAGUGGGGUUAACAAACAAAAUUAACAAAUGUAUGGUCCGAUCCGAUGUGCCAUCAUACGUGUAAGCCAACACUUAACUUUGGAGUUUUAUGCAUGUCUUUUCUUCAUCUCCCACCCACGUAGCUUUCAUGCAUGCAAACCCGGAAACUUUUCCCCUGUAUAUAAACGAAACCCAUUCCUUGAAAACAUAUCAUCCAUCACAAUAUUACUACUCAACAGCAUAAUACGGAUAUGGCUUCCUCUGCUUUCUCCACCGGCUUGCUGAGCUUGGGCUCCUCACCGUCAUCACCAAGGCCAGAUACAACUCCAGCCAUGACUAGUUUCCCUUCCAAGUCAUCAUCCAUGGUCUUCUCAAGCAACCGCAAGCAGCAGCAAGCUCAGGCUGUCAACUCAAAGAGAGGUGAUGGUGCCGUUAUUCUUGUCAACAUCUUCGGCAAGCAGCAGGCUCAGGACGAAUCUGAUGCCACCAUGUGGGGUGGUGUUGAUUCCUUCGGCAAAACCGCCUGAGGUUUUCCAAAUAAUUAUAUAUAAUUAUUAGUCAAAUAAAAAGAUGACGCUUGAGUGAGCCGUUUCGGUUUACUAUGCUGCAUGUCUUCCCUUAAAUAAAAAAUCAAAUAAAAUAUGAUAGUAUUAAUAACGAGUACAAUUCCAGAGUCCAGACUUUGGUGGAUGCGACUGUUUUUUUUUUGUUCUGGUAUGUGUUUAUGAGUACCACCUUUGCUGGUAUGUGUUCUGAUAAAAAAAUUAAGAUUGGAGUUUUCCCCUCCUUGUGCCUUGUUGUUGAUCUUAGUGCGUUUCGGGGGUGGUUGAUGUCGUUGCUCUGCGGUGGUCGUGGCUGCUGGCAUAAUAUUCAUCAGAACAUAACAAUAAAUGUUAGGAAGUAGAAUUACAGCCCAGAGGUAACAAUCAUUUGUCAACAUGUAGCAAUACUUUCUCACAGCGUAGCCAUUUUCAUCAAAACGUAGCAAUUCUCAUCAAAACGUAAUUUUUUUUAUGAACAACAUUUUAUUAUUCACAAAAAAAUCAAUAUAGGUCCAAUACAAGGAUUAAAAAGAACUUUUAGAGUUUUGGUGAGUCCUUUUUUCAGAAAAAUUCAACACUCAUUGUCAAGACUCGAAUUUGCAAGAUAGAAGGACAAGGCCAAAAAAAAGUGCUAAUCUUCUUUCCAUGAAGAUGUUCUAACAUUGCCUCCUCCAAACCAGGCCUCUAUAGAAACGAAGUCUGCAAAUGGCAUUACAACAACUCCUUUAAGACAAAAAUAUCACCCUGAACAAGGGCAAUAAUUCUCUCUACAGACAAGUUAGCUCCCGUAAACUUCUGAAGACAACGCUCUCAUCAAACAUGAUAAUAAAUGGUGCGUCAGAUAAUACGAACAACAGGACAAAUAGCCGGAUUGGUAAACUCAAGUUGAAUAAUCAAAUUCAUAACUUCUCAUCAGACUACAUCAAUUUUUUUUUUAUAUCAAAACAUAGCAAUUCCUUGAAAGAUUUUUUUAUAAACUUUCUUUGAAAGUUUUGAGAUAUCAUUUUAGAAAAAAAAUAGUUUUGGAGAAAUCAUUAAAAUGAAACUUUGUUAAAUUCAUUUUUGAAAGAUACAACUUUUGGUAUAGAAAUCUUUGGAAUUAAAACCAAAAUACCUCUCUCUAGAUAUUGUUUAUCUGAUAGAUCAUAGAUAAAUUACGGCAAGGAAAUUUGAGGCAAGAAAUAAAAUCUUAAAAACUAGAAAACAGAGAGGGCGAUAUAGUCAAAGAGAUUGCAAAAAUAUUACAUUUUACCUUUUAAGGAUCCAGCCAAAAAAUAAAAAAAAAUAGAACACAUGUAGAUGAAAAAGAUGGGAAAAGAAAAUACUCCGAAAUAUAUAUAUAUAUAUAUAUGUAUUUUAUCUACACUCCACCUAUAACAGUCCUUAGAGAGAGCUACUAGCAGAAAGAGCAUGCGCCUGCACAACUCCCACCUUAUCUAAUGCUUCGUGGAAACUCUUCACCAGCAUUUACUGCCAUUCAAUAUCUAUAAGUUGAACCAGAUGAUGGCGGCACAGGUGGCAUCCGAGUUGGUGUACGCCGGCUGCUGUUGCUUGAUCCUGAGCUUGCUUCCCAAUCCUGAGAUGGAUCACUAUUCCUUCUACUGUGCGACCUUGAUGAUCCUCCAAACGACCCACUGGCACCGCCAUUCCCUGCAGACUCGAACGCUGUUCUCCAGUCGUCUCCCACUGACGACGAUCCACUUUUCCUGGAGCUGCUUUCUGCACAAAUUCAACACAAACAGAAUUUUGUUACAUGGAUCGGUCAGUCCGUCCAAAAAGAUAAUAAACAACACAACCAAUCGUUCUGUCAUUGCCUGAUUCACCAUCAUCAGACCAGCCUGAUGCAGCAGCUGCUCGGUUAUCAUGGAUGCCAAGCUUUCGAAUGAGUUUCGAAAGUAUAGAAGACUGCUUCUGAGAACGCUCCCGUUUGCGCUUUACAUUAUGGUCCUCUUGAAGCACCUCCUCGAUCUCUGCAUAGCUUUGAGCACUGCAAGCAAACACACAAAUGUGCAAUCAGUCAAACUCGAGAGCCAAUGCAAGUCUGAAACAACCUCAUAUUGGUGAAUAAUAUAAUGUAAGUGUACGAACCUAACGGAGCUAUACAGCUGGUUGAGCAUGUCUUCCUUAGCUUUCUCAACUUGACAAAGUACGACUGCCUACUCAAACAAGUAAAAAGGUUAGAGCAGAUGUCGCUUUACCAAACUAAAGUUAGCAGGUGACUGGCAUCUACAGAAAGAAGGGUUUACUUUUGGGACAUUGGCUCCAAGACUGUUAAGAACAGCUUCCACAUAGCCACGCACUUCUUGUGACAUCCACCGCAGCUCUUCUUCGGGGUCUGCAGGUCUUCGAACCAUUGUAUCCUACAAAAUUUCUCAAUAAGACAAGCUAAAUAGAAGAUGAAUCUUGGACGGACCAACUUUAUCUAUUUGGCGAUGAAGAAAUAAUGUCAAGUCUAGGUCCAAUGUCCAAAUCUUGAACACGAGCAAGUGCAACUCAUGUUAGGUCUACACUAGUUUGGUAACUAGCAACACUGAAUAAGAAGGAAGUCGCUACAGUGACUCACAAGUGAACCAUCUGAUAAACUCUGGCGCAUAGGAUGCCCAGGUUCCGUCACUUGACCUCCUUUGGCUUGGAUAACGGUCCUCAGCUUAUUGAGCCACUCAACCUUCUCUGCCACACUCUCCGCUUUUAACAUGAUAGUGCUCUGAGCUGAAAGUGGAAAACUUGGAUUAUUAACUUGCAUUUCUAGGCAAGAAUGUCAAUGAUCUAAUUGACUAUUUGGUGAUUCACAGAACAAGUAGAUAACAUCAUUGAUAGGACAGCCAAGCCAAAGAGGGGCUACAGACCUUUCAAGACAGUCUUGUAUGGAACUCUAGUGGUAAUCUUAAAAAUGAGAUGGGUUCCCUUUUCAGAAGACUUUUUAUCCUUGGAACUCUUCGAUGAUGACUCUUCUUCUUCAACAUCCUCGAUGCUACAUUCCUACUUGGUGCAUCAUAAAAUUCAGUCCGUGAUCACUAUCAUGCAUGUAAAAGAAUUAUUGGUAAUGCAAUAGUAACUUGAAAUCACCCACUCACACUGACCGUACUAAUAGCUCAACACGUGUCCAACACUGUUCAACUUCAAGAUCAAAUUAUAAGUACAAUAGGGCACACAGGCAAACAAAAAUGAAGUCCCAGAAACAUGAAAAUUAUUCUGAUUCGAGCACUGCGCACAGGGUAGCUCAUUGGUCUUCGUAACGUCCAGAACCUAGCACAACCACACACAAAUUCCCUUUUCUUUUCAUAAACAAGCAUUUGUUUUUCCAGUGAAAAUUUUCUUCCUUGAAGUCUACUACACCUACUUUAUAUGAGUUUUAGAACAACUUUGACCAGGUCAUGAAAAAAGAGCAUCUGUGAAAAGAUACAUGUUUACCUCCAACGUAAUGACACCACGGAAGUGUCGUUCUUCUUGUUUCUUGGUGUACCCUAGCUGCAACAGUACUGAACCUUGUGAAUAGAAUGCCACUGAAGUAAUAAGGGUACAGAGCAAGAGAGGGAAAACCAAAUAUGGCAAGAAACAAAACAAGAAAAAUGGCAUUCAGCAUAAAAGCAGUAACAGCCUACUGGUAAACUGUAAUCUAUUUCAUUUUGCAAAAGUGUACUAGAUAGCCAGACCAAAUCUAAUAUGACAUAUAUAGCUUCUACAGUUUCUCUAUUGGACAUCAACUAAGUAGAGGGACGCAAAUAAAGAUAUUCUCCCCCUAAUUAGAACUUAUAAUGCACAACUUAGAAUCAUAGGGUACCUACACACUUGCCUUGCCACUUUUUUCAUUCAGAACAAACCACCGCCUACUCCAUCCAUUUGUCUUCCCACUUUUCUUGAACAGAAACCCUGCAGACACAGUAACAAGCAUAAGACACAAGCAGCAAAACAAUCAAACCAACUAGUUUGCCAUCAGUGCACACACGGUACUUCUGUAAAAUAUCACUUGAAGCAUUCCUGUUAGAGUUGUGGACUGUACAUGCACAAAGUGACCCACACAAUAUAUAAUGAAGAAAACUUUGAAUGAUUGCAAACAUCCAACAAAUAGGCUUUCUGAGGGUUAAAAAGGAAAAUAUAACAGAGCAAAACUAAAUUGUUACCCAAAAAAACCUGCUACUUUGCAUUUAAAGUUGUGGCCUUUUUCACCAUUUUCUCAAAUCACAUAUGUUUAGGUACAAAAGCAUCUCAUUUGAAAUCACUCGGACAGUAUUCGUGUAACAGUUCAAGUAAACACCUGCUGUUAUUUCACCACCUGGUCCGGCAGUUUUCAAGGUGGAUCCUUCCUGUGGCUCUUUAUCUUGCUGACCAAAUUUUUCCUUCAGUGACUUCAAGGUUCCUCCUGACUGUUGUCCUCCCAUCUGAGGACUAGUUGUCUAGAGGUAUAGACAAAAUAAAAUGAAGUAAAGCAAAAAUGUAAGUAAUAUAGACCAACAUCCGAAUAUGCAUACCCUAUUCUGUAUGGAUUGUUCAGCCUCCAUAGCUUUUUUAGAGGAUUUGCUCUUUACUUCUUCUUCCCUUCGUUGCCUGUCCAUUCUAAAACAUUCCGACGUUAUAGUUUCAGCAGGAGACAAAACUGCACAAACUACAAAGUUAAUCAAAAAGAAAGUUCUGAAAACAAACAUAUGCAGGAACUUCCCAGUCCGGCAAAAAAAAGUGCAGAGAGAGAGACUUGAAAGAAGCAUUCAUAUGCAAUGGUAAACAAAGAAGCAUUCAGUCAAAAUGACACACACAAGCACGCAUAUAGACAGUUACAAAUGGCCUGAAGCAUCAUUUGAGCUCAGAGCUACCUUCUCUGUACUAAACGAAUAAAAUGUUGAGGUGGAACAAAUGCACGCUCCAUGUCCACAAGAGCAACCACCAUCUUUUUAGCUUCAUUCUUGAAUCCCUCCAAUGCAGCAGUUGCAAUCGCCACAACCAGAAAAUUUUGAUUUUGUUAGUUCAGACAACAAUACCUGAAUAUUUUCUUAGCUCCUACUCAACCCAAAAGGCGGGGAUCUCUGUGCCUUUGCUAGACUAAGGUGCAAAAGCGCCAGGCACUCAAGGUGAUUCAGUCAGUGGCUUCCCACAGUAAAAAGAGGUGGCUACCUUGAUACCAAAAUCCUCUACAACAUUUCCUCCAUAUUUUCCAUUGGCUAGUUCUUUUCUUUUAUAUGCUGAAAAAAUUAUGUUAUUUCCUUCCUUGAAUUAAAGCUUAUCAGAAUUCUAAUGAGAAAUAUAUAGUCAUAUAUUGACUACGAUAAACAAGAAACAUACAGCAUUAACAUACUAUACUAAUAAUCAUAUUUGAAACGAGAUUUAAUAAGAGCAGUAUCACCUCUCUCUUAAAUGGAGGAUAUCUUCCAAGGCCAGGUGUCGCGUUAGCAGCAGAAGACACUAGAUCCACAAGCACCCGAUGCACCUACUUGUAUCAUCUGAAUUUUAGUUCUUACAGUUGUAAAAAACUAAGACUAAAUAUCAACAUAUCAGCAUAGAAAUGAACGCAUCUUAAUCAUCCAACAGACUUUGGGAGAAUUUUUAACAUCACGGUCUAUACAAACGACAUAAUGAGCUGUUAAAUGAAUAUACACGUUACGAAUAAAUAAAUACCUCAUCUACGCAUAACAGUGAGGGCUCUUUUGCCAACUCUAGAACACCUUUUAUUAAAGAUCGUAAACCUUUCUCUGGAGAUAUUAGAUAGGGUUGAUAACCAUCUGCUUCUAGGACAAUCUGAUACCAGGCAGAGAGGCGAUUUGUGGAAUUAUUCAAACAAAAAACCUCAAUCAAGAAUCUCACAAAUAGAUCAUAUAUACAAACAAGAAAACAAGUACCUUUUUGACAUUACUUAUGUCAAAAUGCCUAUCUAAGGGAAGCUGUUUGAUCCUGUUUGGAAAAUUUCCCUCGAAACUUGCUACAAGUUUCCAGCCAUUACCCUGCAAGUAGAACGUGCCAACUUAUGAUCCUGGUUAUCUACACUUGUACAAACUGGAGAAAUAAGGGUACUUCACAAGAAACCAUUAUAAGAUAAAAACACUGGUAUUCUGCAUUCGUCCGUAAAUGAGAAUACUUAAGGUAGCAUUACAACUAAUCACCUCACCACCAGCAAGGUGCUGGAGAAAUUUUUCCUCAAAUUCACGGCAAAGCCCCAAAGCUAGAGCUCUUGUUCCUUCAGAAAUAUCCACCAUUUGUUCACCAAGCCUAACUAAUUCAUCCUGAACAAUUUGGGACUUGCCCUGAAGCCUGACAUCAGUAGGUACAAGCCACGGCAUUAGAUCACAGGUUGCUUGAAAAAAUGUAGAGAUAUUAUUAAUGUAGUUUCCAUAGGUACAUAGCACUUUCUCAUACAUCAACAGAUAGAUAAACCAAGCAAAUCAUAAACAGCAAUUGCUUCGCACAGAAAAUAACUAAAAGAAGAAAAAGUCAAGGAGCAUCAAGAAAACUAGGAGCGUCAAGAAAACAUUACCCAGAGAGAACACUAGGAAGUCUGAGUUUCACACGAUUGCGGAUCUGACCAGCUAAGGCCUCCACAAGGGCUACUCUCCCAAGUUUGUUUUGUGGUGCUCCAGUCAAUAUGGAUUUUAGACUUUCACUCUCAGCUAGCCAAGCAGUUUCUAAGGAACUCUCAGAUGAACCACUUCCUGAUUGUGCUGAAGCUAUAGAAACAGAUUGACCAAUUAAAGCAACCCAAGGGAUAUCGGAUGUCUUAGGAGGUCCUUGAUUCAUAAGGAGUGCCUGAACAGCUGCAAGUGCUUUUACCUCUGUAGCUGCUUGGUCAAUUUUACUGAUAACACCAACCGUUCUGGUGCCUAUUAUGGAGCCAUAAAUAACAGAAAAUUAAAGACUGAACUUAGGCGUCAAAUGAUGCUAGCUUGCAAUAACUAAUAGAAGAGAGGAGUAAGAUGUAACAAGUUUCUUUCUCCAUAACAAAAAACAAUGAAGACUAGAAAUGAACUUACUCUCUGAAUCGUAUUCCUUUGCAACUCUGAGUGCUCUGGAUGAUGAAAUUUCAGGUGCCUGAAUAGCAGGUAUUACCACCAACAAGAUAGCAUCGUUGUGUUGGACAUGCUCACCAAUCUGUAAUCAGCCAAACAAUCACAGAAGUCAAAGAGCCAACGGAUAACAGCAAGGGUCUGAGAAAUUGAAAUCGCCUUACUUGGAAACAAUACAACAUCAUUGCAAGAUCAAGGAAAAAUGAAUUAUAAUUGUAUUCAAGCACUCACCAGGGACUCAUCCAUGAUCCUUUGGUCCAGUCCAGGCAAGUCAACCAAUUUUAGUGGUGGAGCUGUAGAUAAUUAACCAUAGUAAGAAUUACUAUAGAAUUAGAGAAUGAUUGAUGAUUUUAUUCAUUAGAAUCCUAGGUAUUUAUACAGUAGGAAUAGUCCUAGAUUAGGUAAUUACAUAGGUUCUACCUAUCCUAUCAUAAUCCCACUAAUCCGGGAUUCUACUUACUAUUAUUAUAGGCUGAGAUUAGGCUAAUCUAUACAGCUAACAUCUGACUAUACUAAUCAUAUCCUAAUCAUAUCAUAAAUCACAUAAUUCUACACUCCCCAUCAAGCUUGGUUGUAAAUAUUUUUAAGGUCAAGCUUGCACUGAAGCUUCUCAAACGUGUCCCGUGUGAGAGCCUUUGUCAGAAUGUCGACAAUUUGUAAUCUGGAAAGAACAUAUAUCAUCUCAAACUCCUUGUUGUUCACCUUCUCAUAAAUAAAUUGUCUAUCCAGUUCAACGUGUUUAGUACGAUCAUGGUGAACUAGAUUUCUUACAAUAAUUAAUGCUGCUUGACUGUCACACAGUAGUUUGACAGAGUCUUGAUUGUCCAUUCUCAAUUCCUGGAGGAUUCUUUUCAACCAUACACCUUCACACAUUCCUUCUGCCAAUGCUCUAUAUUCUGCUUCUGCACUGCUCCGGGAAACCACUGACUGUUUCUUACUACGCCAUGUCACGAGAUUUCCCCACAUAUAAGUACAGUACCCUGAAGUAGAGCGACGAUUUGUUAGUUCCCCAGCCCAGUUUGCAUCUGUAUACACGGAUAUAGCUCGCUCUAAAUGUUUCUGGAAGUAUAAUCUAGUUCCAGGUGUACCCUUUAGGUACCUCAGAAUUCUCAUUACAGCCUCCAUAUGCUCUUCGUUUGGACUGUGCAUAUAUUGGCUCACAAUACUGACAGGCAAUGCGAUGUCAGGUCGAGUGUGAGCCAGAUAUAUUAGCUUUCCUACUAAUUUCUGAUAGCUCCCCCUCUCUACAGGAGCUACUUCUGGAUCUUGACUAAACUUCAAAUUAGGCUCCAUAGGUGUGCUUACAGGUUUGCAACCACUCAUCCCUGUUUCCUGUAACAAAUCCAGCACAUACUUUCUUUGAGAUUGAACCAAGCCUUGACUUGAUCUUGCUACUUCAAUACUAAGGAAAUACCGCAAAUUUCCGAGAUCCUUCAUUUCAAACUCCAGGGAUAACCUUUGUUUGAGAUCCUUUAUCUCCAGUUCAUCAUCUUCUGUAAUGAUUAUAUCAUCUACAUAUACUAUGAGAAUAGUACGUUUUCCUGACUGAUUAUGCUUUAUAAACAUAGUAUGAUCUGUUUGACACGGAUAGUAUCCAGAACCUCUUACAGCCUGAGAGAACCUUUCAAACCAAGCUCUAGGUGACUGUUUUAGUCCAUAUGAUGCCUUCUUGAGCAGGCACACUCUUCCUGGUUCAGUAGUGACCCCUCCUGGUACAUUCAUGUAGACCUCUUCCUUUAGAUCCCCAUUUAAGAAUGCAUUCUUGAUGUCUAGCUGGUAAAGUGGCCAAUCCAGAUUAACAGCAAGACUGAGAAGAACCCUUACUGUAUUCAAUUUUGCUACGGGUGCAAACGUCUCCUCGUAGUCUACUCCAAAUGACUGAGUAAAUCCUCUAGCCACAAGUCGUGCCUUGUAUCUAUCUAUUUUCCCUUCAGACGUGUAUUUGACAGUGAAGAUCCACUUGCAAUCAACAGUGGUCUUUUCUGAUGGUAGGGUUGCAAAAAUCCAGGUUUUAUUCUUUUGCAUCGUGCUGAUUUCCUCCAUGACUGCCUUCCUCCAAUGAGGAAUUUUCAUAGCCUCCUCUACCGUUUUUUGGAAUCAUGACUGCAUCAACACUACUCACGAACUCCUUGUAUUUCUCACUGAGAUUCCCAUAUGAGACCCACCUUUCAAUGGGAUGGUUUGUGCAAGCUCUACUACCCUUCCUUUUUGCAAUAGGGAGAUUCAUUGCUCAGUAGUUUCAGUAGAUAUGUCAGGGUCAUUCUCUUGGUUGUCUUCGGAGGCAGGUUCCUCAUUGGUUUCUUGGCUAGUUUGAGUGUGUGAGAUGGUUGUAUUCUUCUUCUGACUAGUGUGAGAAUCUAUCUUGACUAGCAAAUAGACUAGUGCGAGAUUCAGAAGCACAUGUGGAUGAUUUUUUUGCUGUGUAGUGAGACAUCAUCUGCUGAGGAUUUCCAGUUGUUCCCUUGUCAGCUGAGCUAUGGUGUUGGUUUGUUCAGUGGCAGCAGCAUGAGCCUGAGCCUCCCUUUCUGCUCUAGGCUUCCAGUCAACGGGUUUUCCGUGCAACUUCCAGCACGUUUCUUUAGUGUGACCUGUCUUAUUGCAGUGAGUGCAGUAUGAUCGUGGUUUUCCAGACUUGGUGUAGCUCCGUCUGUCGGAGCUUCCACUGUACUGACUUGCGAGAGCAGACCCCUCGGUAGUUGUCUUAGGUUCAGUAAUCAUGAUUCUUCGGCGACUUUCCUCCCAACGAACUUCAGCAAAUGCAUCUUUAGCUCUAGGCAAGGGUGUACGUCCCAUGAUUCUUCCCUUCACUUCAUCAAGUUCUUGGUUGAGACCAAGGAGAAAUCGAAUGUUCCUUUUUGUUGCCAAGAUCUGUAGAUAAAGUUCCGCAUCCUUUGUGCUGGUCCAUAUGUGCACAUCAUACAUGUCUUGCUGCAGCCAGUACUUGCUUAACUCAUCAUAGUACUGUGUAACAGUCUUCUCCCCUUGGUUUAGAUUGUGUAGUCGUAUCUCCAGACCGAACAACUCUGCAUUAUUCUCCUGUUUUGAGUAUGUAUGACGAACACUCUCCCAGAUUUCAUAAGCAGUCUUAUGAAGGAGAAACUUCUCUCCGAUUGAAGUGUUCGUGAAAUUGAACAGCCAAGACUGGACCAUGUUGUCCUCGAUAUCCCAGGUGAUGAAUGUUGGAUCAUCCUUAGCUGGUUGAACCGUCUUUCCAGUGAGAUAUCCCUUCUUGCCUUUUUCCUGAGAUGAAUUUGAGUACGGAUGAUGACCAUUGAAGGUAGUUAUCACCAGUGAGUCAGUGAUUGGUGAUGCUGCCAACGACGGUAUCCGAGAUGGUAGGAGCUUGAGGUUGAGAUUGAGUGUUGUUCCCCUGUGUUGCGGUAGAACCGGAGACCACCUCGGAAUUGUCCAUGGCUGGGACUUCUUCAGGCAUGAUGACAGUGAGAGUAGUCAAGUUUUAGAGAGAAAGAAUGGAGAUGGAUCAGGGCUCUGAUACCAUAUAGAAUUAGAGAAUGAUUGAUGAUUUUAUUCAUUAGAAUGCUAGAUAUUUAUACAGUAGGAAUAGUCCUAGAUUAAGUAAUUACAUCUACCUACCCUAUCAUAAUCCCACUAAUCCAGGAUUCUACUUACUAUUAUUAUAGGCUGAGAUUAGGCUAAUCUCUACAGCUAACAUAUGACUAUACUAAUCAUAUCCUAAUCAUAUCAUAAAUCACAUAAUUCUACAAUUACAAAGGUGGAACUCUAAUCCAAGCAUCCCAUCUUCUGAUCAAUGCAUGUCUUGCUCCAGGGUACUUUCAAUUUUGUAACAUAAAUUACAUGAAAGCAGAAAUACAUCUGAUUGGCGCAAUAUCACUCUCCACUCUUCUCUACUGUUCAUUCUUGGAUGUGAAAACGUCAACUGACUAAAUAAUGAGUUCUUGAGACCAAUACGGUGAAAAAAGUUUACCUGUACUAGUUUGAAGCUUCAAAGAAAUUUCCUCACGACUCCUGCCUGAAGAGCUCUUGCUUAGCCUAUCCUGUAGAGACCGCCGAAGAGCACCUAUGAUAUGCCAAAUAGUAAGAAGAAACCAUCUGUACUACCAUGAACUAAUGUAGAAUGAAACUGUCUCAAGACAUAAUAGCCAAUGAAAUAAUAGUAAGAUCUCUUACUUGCAGAAACCUGUUGAGUUUUGUUGUCGAUUUGCAAAAUAAUCGAUCUGCUGUUUACAGAAGUAUCCCUACUCAAGUUAAUACAUAUUGGAGCACGAGUAGCACCAUUUUCCCCUGUUGGCUGUACGCAAAUAACAAUAAUACAAGAACAUAAUAGGAAGAUGAUAGUAUCAAUAAUGAGGACAAUCACAUUUCAAGUAAUGCUAACAAAAGAACUCGUGCAGGUCAAUACCAGAACUGGAUGCCCAAUCAAACUAUUCAAUACAGCAGAUUUACCAGAACCCUGUACACAACCACGUCAAAAAAGAAAAGAAAAGCAAAAUAUCAGAAGCAAAUAUAACAAGUAGCAAGGACGCGGGGCGUGACUAGUUGUAAGGUUGAUCCCACGAGUGUGAGUUGUAUUUAAACAGCUAAAUAUUUCUCUAUUAAAAUUAUGACCAAAAUUGGGGUUCGAAAGACAACUUUCCAUGCAUUCGACAGAUUUGACACCAUCCACACCAUUUCAACAGAUAUUCAACGCAAUAUCAAUAUCCUCCCCUAUCGAACACCAAUAGACCGAGUUGAUAGAACUUACGACAUUGCCAAGAGCGACGACGUUGAGAAAAGUAGUAGGACGUCUGGAAGAGGAAGAUGAUGGCGUCUCGUCUACUUCUUCGUCAGCAAGCACAGAGGAUGCUUGGCGCAUCGAGUCUGACAGUUGUGACAAUUCAUCGAUCGCCUCCAUAUCUGUCAGCGCAAUAGAUGAGACAAUAAACGAAAAGGAAGAGAUAAGAAAUCAUCCGAUGCGAGAGGCAAUAAUCAGAAUGAUCAGAGCGGUACCGGAAGAUUGGAUGGCGAGCGCAAACAAAACGAAGAAGAAGAUCAGCAAGAUGUUAGGCAAAUAUUGAAAAGAUGAUCAUCAGUUAUGUUGCUUCGUGAUCAUAGCUGUUUCGUCGGUUUAAAAUUACUCUCCAACGCAUUUGUGUCUCUCAAACGGACAUGAAGAAUUGGAGAUCAGCAACUGAAAUGGUAGGGACGCCGACGAAAAUUCCGGCGGGAGAAAAAGGACGAGGGGAGAAGUUCAAGUGUGAGGUGGAUCUCUCUACGACAGUCCUCCCGCAAUGAAAUUGAAUACUAUUUUUUAAUUAGUGCGAUCAAACUUCCACAUCCACACUACUUAUUCGGCAGUGAUUAAUAGAAACAAUUCUUUUUCUUCAUAUCAAUUACAGUUUCAAACAGUGUAUAGUUGCAGCUUAAAGGGCAACAAUAUGGAAAAAUAACCAACUAUUUUGCUUUCUGAGAUAUUCUUCUAUGGCCUCGUUUGAUUUCUUCUUGUUUAAAUAGAGACAUUUAACUAAAUUUCUAUAUUUAAAAACUGAUAUUCUAAGCCCAACCUAGGAUCAGUGUGCAAAAAAGACAUCACUUUCGAGAAAUACAUUUUGUGAUACUGUGUUCAAAAUAUUUCAACAAAACUAGACCGUUGUUAGCGUUGAUCGUUAAAAGUGAUAACAAAUUUAGAUGCAGUUAUAAUGGCGAUGAGUUGGAUCUUCAGAUCAGCUUCAAUUGAAGUCCAUGUCAAAUUGGACUAAGAAUUUUGGUUUAUGGUUAUCGGGUUACCCUAAAUGAUAUUAUAUUGCUCCAACGUUUCCUCCCCAAGCUCCCUCCCGCUAAGCUAAAAUUCUUAUCCCCGCUCCUCAUUGUCAAGGCUGCAUGCCUUCUUCUUGAAACCGACAGUAUCUGCAUCGGAUUCGAAUUCCAUUACAUGGCUAUCGGCAGGAUGGCUUUAAUUUCAACCAUUUUGUCAAACCGUGCGCUUCGAUUUCUGUAUCUAGAGCAAGAAAAUAUUCCUCUGAUCCACUAAAUUCCUAAUAACUACGACUACUUUUAAGUUGUUAAUAAUUACGUUUAAAUUGCUAAUAAAUAUGAUUAUUUCUAAGUUGCUAAAAACCUAUGUCUAAGUUGGUGAUAUGUAUCAAGUCUAGUUUUGAGGCAGUCAACUCGCGUGUUUGACCUAGGGAAAAAAGUCCGCUGAAACCAUACGUGAUAUUCCGGAUAUCGCAUACCAAACGACACCUAAGAUUUUGACACAAAAAUUAUUCAAAACCAAGUCAAGGCCUUGUUUGGUAUGCGAUAUCUUGAAUAUCAUGAUAUUCGAAAUAUCUCCACAUAUUGGAUGCUAUUAUAUUCCAUGAAGAUAAAUAUAAAUCUAUUGUUUGAGAUGUGAUAUUAGAGAAGAAUGAAGAAAGAAAGAGAGUGAAAUUAUGAAGGGGAGAGAGUUACAAUUAUGUCAUUAACAGAACGUAAAAAGUGAGGGCAAAACUUUUUAUCGAAAUGAUAGUUUGGGUGAUAUUCAAUAUCACUUCUUUUAGGUAAAUAAUUAUCACAAUUCAAGUUAUGGACAUGAAAAUAUCUUAAGUCCAUUUCCAAUGUUUGGGACUAAAGUGUCAAAGUGCUAAAUUAUAGUAUCAAAAGUGCUUCAAUGUUUGGGGCUAAAGUGCCAAAGUGCUAAAACUCAAAAUUGAAUCUCAAAUUUAGCUCAACCAAGUGCUAAAAUGUCAAAUUUAGCCCACUGAUCUAGGGCUGGGAAUUUCGGGUCCGGGUAUACGGUCUAACCGAUAACCGACCGGUCAAACAAGGGUAGCGAGUACCCUGAUAACCAGAUUUUGAUGUGUUAGAGCCAGGUGUGGUCAUCAUUUCACCUCUUUACUAGUUAUUGGGUUGGUUUUGCGGGGGUUAAAGCAAAAACUCUGCGGUCAACCGGAUAUAGCCUACCCGGACACUCCAACCGGUUCGUGAUCGGAUAGUGAUUUUAGUAAUAUGGUUACCCGAAAAUCCAGUUUGACCCGUUAUAGGUAACCCGAGCCCGAACAGUAUCCCAGGCCUACACUGAUCUAACAGUUUGUAUUCAUAUAGAGGGUUUCUGGGGAUCUAUGAUUCUUUAUCGAUUUUCCUAUUUUUUUCUUUUCGUCAUAACUUUUUUUUUGGAUUAUUUUUAUAUCAAAAUUCCUAUCUACCUUUUAAAGACUAAUAUAAAACACUCAAUUUUGAUAAUAUUUUAAAACUUUAAAAACCAUUUAAAAAGUUAAAUUUAGCACUUUAAUUUGGCACUUUAGCACUCACUAUUAAACCAUAAACACUUUUCAACGUCCUAAAGAGUCAAAUUUAGCACUUUAAUUUGGCACUCUAGCACUAACCAUUGGAGAUUGUCUAACUAGCUAUUAUACCAAACGAGCCUAAAAGAGAGGCCCCACCUUAAGGGUGUGUUGGACUGAUUGUUAGCACGGGGCCUCCAAAUUAUCGGUGCCUCAAAUAUUUCAGACUAACGAUAUUCGAUUUGGUGAUAGAGAAUAAAAUGCAAUCUUCUGAAUCUUUGACAUCAAAUGGACUUGCCGUGUAGCGGUAAAUUGUUGGAAAUAAUUCACUUAUAUAGCGGCAACACCUUGGUUUGAGUCACGUCCAUAGUAUUUUUUUGCUAAAUUGUUUAGUCUUUGGUUUUUUUAUUAGGAUCUUGAGGAGAGAUAUCAAGAUAGCGCCCUAAACUAGACACAAAAAUGGGGGGAGGGGGAGACCGGAAGGGAACCAUUAUCAGAAGAAUAUUAAGAUCCGCCUACCAAGAAGGUGAGGUUAUAAAGAAGGGAGGAAUGAUGUAAGAAUUGUAAUGCAGAUUUUGCAGUAUUAUGUGUGGUGUUGUUAAGGUUGCUAUGAAUAUGAAAGCAACACAUGGUUGGGAAUUGUAUAAAAAAAAUCUGAUUUCUUAAAUUAUUGCACCUCCCACGGGUGGAGAAUAUUUGUUUGUGUUACUCGAAAAAUGACAAGUUCUAAAUCACUAUCAAAACUAGUGUCUAAAAUAUUUGUUUGAAUACACCACCUCAUUGCCUCACGUAAGGCUAAGGCUUGUGUAAUAAAUGAAUCAGAAAAACGACAAAGCUUCUACCCUCUUGAAAUAAAAUUGUCACAAAAUGAUUGCGGAGUACAUAGUCAACAGGGCCACCUACCGGGAUUUGUGUCGCACCAUCCACAUAAAUCCUAUAGCGAUAAAGAUUCGGUAAUGGUCUGGGAUUUAUUUUAUUCUGAUUAGAUAGCACAACGAAAUGUGCUAGUUGAGAUUUUACGUUUUCGCCAUUGAUAAAUUCAUUGUAUUGGUAUCAGAACUGUCCUUUAAGGGAACUAGGAUGAUCUUCUAUGUGUUGGAAGACUACUUUAUUGCGAGAUAUCCAUAAUCUCUAUUAGUAAAAAAUGAAUCUUUUUGUUAUGUGGUGAGGUUGGAAAUUAUAUUUUUUUCAGAAUUAUGCAAAGCCGUCAGAGAUUAAUAAAUGUAGAGGAUAUUCAAUUUUUGACCCAUUAUGAAAACAAGUGAGCAAUUCAAAUAUAGGUGUUCAAUGGAUUAUGUUUUCAAAAUACAAACAAGGCAAAUUUCAUCAACUUUGAUUUUUCUAUAUCUCAAGUAAUCCCUAGUGAGAAGAAUGAUCAUAUUAGUUGAUCAGGUAUGUAAGAGACGGGUAAGGGGAUAGCAAAUAUUUUUUGAAUAUCUGAAUCAAAAAAUAUUUGUUAUAAGAAAGGUAUAUUCCAAGUAUUAUUUAUUAUGAACUCUGCGACCUUUGAAAUAAGGGAAUAUGUGCUAAGAUGUGGUAAGAGAGUGGUCUUUGUGGCGGGUAGAGAGAUCCAAUGAUCUAAAAGUGCAUCAAUUGCAUCCCCAUUUCCAACCUGCCAACAUAAACCUUGAAGUAAAAGAUUGCGUCUGUGGAGAAUACUUCUUCAUCCCUAUGAAGGUUUGAUCCUAGAUUUGCUUGUAAUAUCGAGGUCGUUGGAAAGUAUUUCGCUUUAUACAUUUGCGAAAUGAUUAAAUUGGGUUCUUAUAAAAUGCACCGACAUUGUCUAGCCAGUAAUGUGACACCCGGAGCUUCGGUUCAGUUGAAAUUUUUGAUUUGAUUUAAAUCUUACUCGAUGAGUAGAAGUCGGGAGUGGGAACCGAAUUAAUUUAAUUAAUUUGAGGAGCUGACUCAACAGUUGACCAGGUAUUAAAAGCUUGCAAGGCUCGAGGUUAUUAUCGAGUUGACUAAGUCAAUCAGAAGAGGAGUUAAUUCUUUGAAUUAUUAGUUAUGAGCUUAGAGAGUUUUGGACCGCUAGAUGGAUCUAACGAUGAGGAUUUGUCUCUAUGCAUCCAUGGGAAAGGAGUGGCUGCCAUGUUAUAUGAACUUGGGCCUCAGGUUAUGGGCCUUGAGCUGUGAGGAUUAUGGUAAAUAGUGAGCUUGGACCGUCGGAUGGGCCUAACAGUGUGAUGAGUUUCUGCUAUCAAUUAAGAUUGAUGAGGCCUUCAGAUCGGUUGUUUUCCUGAAACGUAACUCCCUCGAUUCAGUAAUGAGAGCAGAUGAGGGAUGAUGUUGGCGGUGUCGCUUGCCGAUAAAAGGAGAUAGGGAUGGUGCCACUAUUUGAUCGACAUUUCGAGGUCUUGAUUGGUAGCCUCGUUCCGAUCUACACAAGGAGGAGAGAAGUCGCGCGGCGGCUGAAUACUAGGAGACAACGCUGGAUGUAGAGAAAGAAGAUCUGAUCGUCGGUAGUGGGAUUUCGCUGAGAGAGAGGAACGAUGGCGGUUUUCCAAGGCCAGGUAGCGACGGCAACGGAGGGGAGAAGCUUCGGCGGCGAGAGGGCAGCGUUCCAACUCCCAAGAAAGUUGGAGUUCGCUGGUGGUCGGCGGAAACUGGACACAGCUCGCCUGCGGGGACCUAGUCCGCGGGAGAAGAAGAGGGACCAAUCUGCAAGUCCAGAAAGUUAAGUGAAUAAUCUGUGAGUUUGAUUAUUUUUAAGUCUUGCUUCCAUAGUUCUGAACUUGUGGAUGGUUUACAAUUAAGGACUUGGGCCAGUUUUGUCAACGACUGGAAGUUUUGGAUCAGCUAGUGUAACGAAGGCGUUUAGAGGACUAGCGCAACGUUUCGGUCCCAGCAAGUUUCAAAAUAUUGCAAAGAGGUAAAUGGAGCAUAAGUCGAUCAGACUGGAGUUGUAUCUUCUUUUGUCGUGUUGUGUUUUGGGAUCAGGGAUCCCCUUUAGCCCGUUUAUGAAACCUGAGCAAGACUCUUUAGUUCAAUUAGUGGUUCGACCGGGACUCCUAGGGUGGGGUUUCAUAAGUAAUGCCUCAUUAAAAGCCUAUAGGUGUCGAAAACCAAGACCUUCUUCCUCUUUUGGAGAACCCACUGAGUGAGUUUUUCAUCUUCACAUUGGCCCCACUAAAAAUCACUAACCCCAUUAGAUAUUGUUUUCCUUGGUGUAUUUGUGUGUUCAGUCACAGUGACUGGAGUUGAAGGUGGGGAAAGAGCUGGUUGGAGUUUUGAUAUUAGAUGAUAUCAUUUUGAUGUGUUUUCAUACUGGAGUUGUAUCUCCUUUUGUCGUGUUGUGUGUUUUGGAUCAGGGAUCCCCUUUAGUCAAUUUAUUAAAGUACUGCAGUUUGGCGUUUAAUGCUUUUUAUGCAUUGAUUAGUAGUUGAGAAUUGAGUAAGGUUUAGGUUGAAACCUGAGAAGACUUUUUGGUUGAAUCAGUGGUUUGAUCGGGAUUCCUAGGGUGGGGUUUCAUAAGUAAUGCCUGAUUAAAAGCCUCUAGUUGUUGAAAACCAGGACCUCCUUCUUCUUUUGGAGAACCCAAUGAGUGGGUUUUUCAUCUUCACAUUGACCCCACCAAAAAUCACACAUCAUUUGGUGAAAAUGUUCGAUAUUAUUUUAGGUAUUAUAAAACAUCCCAUCGCAUAAACGGGCAUUGCAUAUAGCUAUGAUUUGAUUAGAACCUCCAUACAUGCCGGAGAUAGGAAAGAUUCUCUCCAUUAGUAAUUUUCUUGGAUAUCACCUUCUCAAUGAACUGGAAUGUUGCAAUUCUUGACCUUUGCAUAGUAUAUGGAAGACCAAGAUAUGUAUCAUGAAUGCCAAUUAAGUCAACUCCCAUAAGGUUUCAAAGUUCUAGUUGCCACAAUUGGUUAAUUGCUUUGCAAAAUUUGACAGCCAAUUUUUCUAAAUUAAUCUUUUGUCUACAAGCAAAUUGAUAUUGAUUAAAAAGGGAUCGCAAGGAUUGAAUUUUCUCAACGGAUACUUUAAGGAAUAAAUGUGUCAUCGGUGAACAUUAAAUGUGAGAUAACUGAAGCUCUAUUGUUUAGUUUAACGUUGGUGAGUAAUCCUUGGUCUAGUGCACGAGAGACCAUAAUUGAUAGUACUUAUUAGCAAAUAGCAAAGAGUAAUGAAGAUAAAGGAUCUCCUUGUCUUACUCCACGGGUAGAAGGAAAGUACCCAAAAGAUUUACCAUUCAAGAUCACAUAAAACAUUAUUGUAGAUACAUAGAUACACAUGAAUGGAUCCAUUCAAACCCCUCAUUACUAAAUCCCAUGUAUUUUGAUAAUUCAUAUAGAAAAUGUCAUUCAACUUGGUCGUAUGCUUUUUCCAUAUUCAAUUUUAAUGUCAUAAAUGAAUUGUCACUUUUACCUUUGUUAUCAAAAUAAUACAUUAUCUCAUGGGCGAUUAAAAUAUUAUCUCCAAUAAAUCUUCCAGCUACGAAGCCAUUUUAAGUGGGGUUGAUAAUUUGUGGUAGAAUUUUGCUUAAACAGUUGACUAAUAUUUUAGGUAUGGUUUUAUAAAGGCAUAAACCAUUAGGUCUAAGUUGUUUCAUCCACUCUAUGAUAGGGACUUUGAGUAGUAACGUAAUUCAUGUAUGCUUAAUGCUUUUAAGGAUUUUCCCAGUUCGGAAAAAGUUUAAAAUUGAUUUUGUAAUGUUCGUACCUAUUAUAUCCUAAAAAGUUAGAAUGAAAAUUCUCGAGAAACCAUUGAAACUGGGAGCUUGAUUACCACCGACUGAAAAAUUGUUUCUUUCACUUCUUCUGGAUGAACCGAACGACAUAACAAUGCAUUCAUAUCUGGUGAAACCUAUCUUUCUAUUGGAAUCCACCCAACGAGAGCGACUAUAUUAAUAGAAGGGUGGGAUGUGGAAACUAAUUCCUUCCAUUGUAUUGAGAUCAGCCUGAUCCCGCCCACCGGAGUUUAAUAGUGAGGUUAUAGUAUCCCUCCUAUGUUGUGGUGCCACUUGGUAGUGAAAGAAGGCAGUGUUUUGAUCACACUCUGUUAACCAUUUAGCCUUGAUCUAUGUUUGCAAUAUAGGUCUUCUUGAUAGGCUGGAAUGGCUAGUUCAGAUUCUAAUGAAAUGACCUUUUCCCAACAAGCUUGAAUAAUCCACCACUCGCAGGUUCCUCUCCUUUUGCUGCAGGACUCGAAAUUGGUAUUGCACAACCCUUUAAUUUCAUUAUUCCAGACUAAUGUCAGGAUCCGAAAUUUGCAGUUCAAAUGUUUGUGGAAAGUCCUAUGAGUGAAAUGUCUAUUUGCGAGUUCAUUUCCGCAUCUCCUUAUCAAGAUUAUGGAUUGGUGAUUGUCAUAUGGGGUCGAGGAAUGAAGAAAUGAAAGCUAACAUCAUCUUCAUCUUAGACGUGCUCGGUGGUUAGAUGUUGAGGUAGUGCGAAUUGACGACUCAGAUGGCAAAGGAGGACUUGAAGUUGAGGAAGCUGCCAAGAUACAUAAGCUUUUACGAGAGAUGGAUGGUGAAUUGGUGCAGCUAGUUUGCUGUAGGGAAGAUACAGUUUCCAUAUCGCUUUGGGAAGCAAUCAACGCACCGCAACCGAAUCUAAAAGCUUUGCAGAUUGCGAAGUCUUUGCUGCAUAUGUAUGGUAGCCGAGUGCAUCAUGUCUUCCGUGUGUCCCUGCUCCGUCGCUGCAACGCUCACGAUUCUACUGCCAUUUUAGCAUUUACUCCAAUCACGGUCGACAGAAACCUACUACUCCAACCAGCAGCCAUCUUGAAAACACGUUGGGUGCAUUGGAGUUCCAUGACCGAAUUCAACUAGGCAUUAAGGACAAUGUCGUUGUCUUAGGAGAGGGUAAUGAUAGGGUAAUGGAUCUAAGCCCACGUUGCUCGGUAAGACUACGAAGGCGCAACCCUCGCUUCGUCGGAGAGUAGCAUUUUCGGCCACAACUCAUAUUGUUUCUAGUAGUUUAUUAAUUAGUCAAGUAUGAUGAAUUAGUCUUAGUUGUUGAAUUAGUCUUCCCAUUGAUACUAUGUUGCAAUUCGUAGGAGCUAUCACUUCCACCUUUAGUGAGAUGAUGGAGCAAUAGUGGUGGGAGUUAGUUCCACUCCUCUGUGUAUCUAAGCUUGAUAUGAAAUGAAAUAAACAUGAAUUAAGUAGCAAAGAAAUCCCUAGUUGUUAUUGUUAAGAAAGUAGAACGAGGUCAUCUCCAACGAAGAAAUAAGAGCAAUCGAUUUUAUAUCUUUUCAGUUGUCGGGAAAUAAGAAGAUGCGAAUGCGAGUUAGAGAAAUAGGAGAAUGAUGUGAUCCAUGAGCAAUGUGAUGUGUAACGGAUGUUUCAAGCCAUUCUUCUAACCAAUCAUUAGAUAUAAGGAAUCGGUCUAGUCUUUCUCGAAUAAGUUUUUUGACAUUUUUGUUAGACCAUGUGAAAGUCUCUCAAGAAAAACCGAUAUCAAUCAAUUGUGAAUCUGUGAUGAAAGCGUUGAAGUCGGCUAAGGACCUAGUAUACGGAUCCUUGCCGCCAGAUUUUUCAACUGUAUUGCUUACAACGUUAAAUUCGCCAAAAAUUAUGAAAGGAGCAUCAAGGCCGAGAAGUAAAUUCCGAAGUUGUUCUAAUUAGUGACCUCGAACAUUGACGUCCAUAGAUUGGUAAACACCAAUGAGAUACGUGUUAUUAUUCUCUAGUAGUGACCAUUUAAUUUCGAUGGAAAAGUCAGAUUUAAAGAAUUGUUAAUAUAGAGGGGGAAUUGAAAAUGAUGAUUCUGAUUGUGAUAAAAUUUUAGAAAGAUGUCAAGUCAAAGGUUAAAUACAGUGAAAAGGAUGGUCACCCUACUAUAAGAAUAAGCAAUUUUAGAGGGAAAAUUAAGUAUUUCUGUAUUUGUAGAUGCCCUUGAAUUGUUGCCUACAUCAUUAGUCACGGGAGGAACGUGCCUACUUAAGGUAUUUGGUUGGGGAGCUGUAAAUGUUCCUCCAAUGUUGUUUGGGAUAAGAGCUACAAAAGGAGCAGCAUGACUCAAAGGAAAUUGGUUGAGAAUUUAUAACUGCAUUUCCAGAGAUUCUAGGGCCAUGAACCAAAGAUCCCAGUAAUGGAAGCGAUUGUGGGAUUGUGCAUGAAAGCCCACGUACUACUAUCAAAUUGAGUAGCUAUUGGCCUGAAAGAGAAAAGUAAGAUUUAUAACGACCUUAGAAUAUCUACUUUGUAUAGUAGCUAGUGGGAGGGUGAAGUCCACUCGCAACUUGAAUUGGAGGAUUUGGAGCAGUAAGGAUCAUUGGUAGAGGAAGAUUCGGGUGAUCAUUAUUUCUUAGGCUGUUCCCACGGAAGCUUCCAUAGGUCAAAAUAGCUGUAACUGCUGGAGGGAGUCAUCCAAAGCGGUUAUGAUUGUUCUGUUUUUUAGGACAUGAGUAUAUCAAAUGGAAGUCUCAUGCCAGCAUUGCGAAUAAUCAUUCAUGGUCCUCGCACAUUGGGGUCCAUUUGUAGAUGUUGGUGUGCACACGGAGGAUGGCGAUGUCCUAAAUAACCACAGCGAAAACAAAUCGAGGAUACUUGUUCAUAUUGAUAAAUCAUAAAAUACCAAGAAAAGGUUGCCAUUAAGAUCUUGUCCCUGUCUUGUCUUUUGACAGGUCCAAGUAAACCCAUAGUGACUCGACCCUUGAUGAAGAGUUCUUCAUUACUUCGGUUUUCAAAAAAACCCAUAUAUGAAACAUAACUUAUGAGAGCAAACAUCUUCUUCUCAAAGGUUAAAGUUAAACAUUCGAAAGGUACAUCCACAAAUUUCACCCGAAUCCCCAUAAAAUGAAAGUGUUUACAGAGUUCAGGUGACGGUAUAUCAAAUUCCACUAAUUCGAGUGACAGUAUUUCAAAUUCCGCAGUUUGGAUCUUCGUUUAUUUUUGAACUAAAAUAGUCAGCAUUUUCAGUAAAAUAUAUUCAGAGUGUCAGACAAUAAUCAAAAUUCAUAAGUAGUGCCAAUGAUCUAACUAAUGUUGAUUUUUGUCAUAUCCUUUUGAAUUCUUAAACAAUAAAGUUGCAUUUAGUUAUUUAUUCAAUUUUAAUUUUUGUCUUCUCUUGUCUUCAAUUAAUUUUUAUCCGUCUUUCUCGUAAUUGUUAAACAACAAAAUGAGAAUUAAUAAUUAUAGAUAAUCCCACGUACAUUUUAGUUGUAAUGAUAAUGAAUUAAUAGACUUCGUAUUCAAAAUAAGUUUAUUAUUUGGAAAACUCUUUUGCAUUCUUGAAAUAUUAAUAUUCCUGUCUUGAGAAUUUGAUUUAGAUAGCCCGUUUUAUAGAUUUAAUUUUCACCAUCCUUAUUUAUUUAAUUAUUUUCCAUUUCUAUAAAAAAAAGUUAAUGAAAUUAUCUAAUGGUCACAUCUCAAUUACUAUAACAAUCUCGUAUUCAAAAAAAUUUAGUUUUCUUAUUUGGUAUUCCAGCCUCCUAAAUUAAUAUAUGACUGAUUCGAUCGUGAAUUGGUCAUGGAGCCGAUACCGAGUUGCAGGUUGAUGAGAAUGGUCAAAAUCGGGCGUUGACCCGGUUUGACCCAAAAACCAGCUAGUUAGACCGAAAUCGUUUGUCCGGUUGGACCCAAUUUUUGUGACUACACUUUUUAUUUUUUUAAAAAAUUGGGAGUGAGAUUCAAACCAUGAUCUUUUAAGUAUAGAGGAUGAGUGAUUACCAUCUCUACUAAUAUCAUAAUUUGAUUAAAACAUAUAUAUAAUUGAUAAUAAUAAACAUUAUGACAGGUAAUUAACACUGAAAAGUAGCAUUUUAUCAUAAAUUAAGUAAAUUGUACAUUAGAUACCAAUUAUUUGAUUAAUAAAAAUUUCAAAUCAUUUAUAUAAUUUGAAAAUUCUUAAAAAUGAUUACUCAACCAAAAUGGUUCGGUCUGACUUAACUAUAUUUAUUUAAUAAUUAAAACGGUCCAACUCAGUUUUGAAAACGGUCGAACCCCAUUCGAACCAUCAAACUCUAAACCCCUAAUCUCACCAGUUCAAUCUCCGAUCCAGUUUUCAAAACCUUAAUUUUUAUUCAGAAAUUGUUUAAUUCAAUUUAAAUCAUCUUUGAUGUUUGAAACGAUCAACGACACUACAGUUAACAACCUGUUGGUAAAAAGGUGUGUUUUCUUUAGCUGCGGUAUAAAGAACAAUAAAAGCGUUUUUGGAAGUUUUGGUGAUACCUGUUAGUUUUAGAGCUUGGAAUUUAGAAAGGUGUCGCCAUUUCUAUUCUGCAGAUUCGACGAACAUAUCUACGAUGGCUUGAAGUACUUGGACCAACAACUUAGAACCAUCAUUCCCUAAAAUCAAACCAUUUUUACUAGAAAAAACACGUAGUGUUUAUCUUUUUAAUUGAUAACUCGUUAAUUGCGAGACACUUAUAUUAAUUACUCCAGAUGCAACGAUACAUUGAAGGUUUAAAGUACUUAACUCUCUGGAUUCCAAAAUUCGGAUUGGAGCGACCCAUGGCUCGAGAGGCCAAUGCAGAAGCAAAAUAACACCCAUCUGUUGCUCUUGGUGUAGUGUUUUAACUCUCUUUCUGGUACCAGGAUUCACACUUGUUUUAUAACCUCUUUUCAUCAUUUUGGUUCAGAAAGAUAAAACAUCUGGGACAUAGUAGAUUUUUACUUUUCUUUUAGGCCAAGGUUCAGUCUUUCCAAUGUCAUCAUGCCAUGUUCCUCCCCAUCCAGAAUAACUACCAAACAAAAGUUGACUCGGGUAGAACACAUUCAAGUAGAACCCCAUUGUCCUAUCAGCCUGUAGGGUAAAGCUCACAAAACCAUACCUGAUGCUUCGUUCGGUCCAAUCUCGAAAAACUACUAAAUGCAGCAUACCAGAUGGGUUAGAUGGGUUCAAUUGCGUACACAAUCUACCACUAGCCUCACCGAUUCGAGAACUGUCAAGCAUUUUCCGGCAACUGAAUAUUGCUAAGAUACAUUAUAAAAAAAAAGUACAGGUGAGAUACCGAAGGGGGUAGGGUUGGCAAUUCUGACCGUUUAACCGUUAAACCGACCGUACCCUCACCGAGUUUGACGGUUAUUAAUCACGUUGACUGGGUAUUUUGUGGUUAUGGUUAUAACCGUUAACCGCUACGAAUGGGUAAGGUUAGGUUAUGGUUUCGAAGUAACCGCACCAUCACCGUAACCAUACCCAUAACCAUCCUCAACUCGUAACUUACCCUCUAUUUACCCGUAUAUUAUUAAAGCAAUAAAGCCCAAUACCAUUUGAAUAUCCCAACCCACUUACAUUUUAACCCUAUGUCCCAACGCAAUACUUUUGCUUUUUAUUUCAAGAAACCUUAUCUCUUAACUCUGUCUUUAAGAAUCGCUAAACAUAAAUUCAUCCAUCGACCAUCAUUCAUAAAAAAAAUCAUUAAUUAGAUUCAAACUAGUUAUAUAUGAAAAUGGAACGAUUGUUCUAUUUCAAUUAUCAAUUUCAUUUUGUUUAGUGUUUCAGUACUUACGACUUUGAGAUUCAUGUUUUAUAGUAUUACUUAAAUGCUUCGAUCCUUCCCCUUGCUAGUUUUGGGUUGUAUUUUGAUUUCAAGAACAAGUCACAAGUGCUUUUAGUAUUCUAGAAUGCUAUUGUUACUAUUGUUUGGAAUUAGAUUUGGAAAAAAUUUCGAUGAAUGAAUGUGUAUACAUUUUUUACUUUUCAUUCCUUUUUUUUCUUGCAUAUCAGUGGUUAACCGUUAGGAGGAGCGGUUAUAACCGUAACCGGGUGGGUGUGGGGAUGGAACGAAAUCUAUCACCAAAAUAGAAAUGGUGAUGGUUAUGAUUAAUAACCGCCACGAAGGUGGAUGGAUAAUGGGUAUGCCAUAACCAUCCCGAACCUCCCCGUUGUCAAGUCUAGAAGGGGUGGAUAUGCUUCAGGUUUAAGAGAGGAAAAAAUACACAAAAAUUUUUGACAGAGACAAUAUGAGCAUCAAAUAAGCAUGGGGUUUACAAAUCCUGAUCCAGUAAGGAGAAAUAACUCUCGUUUUCUUCUUCGCAACAACCCAACAAUUUUCCUCGACAUAACUAAUUAAACAAACCAUACUUACUCCUUCAAUUCACCACCUUCGUGCUUACUAAACCGACAUCAUACUGCUCAUUCGGUCCAUGUUUCUCCGCCAACGCCUUCAACGACUCUUAGACUCGGUACAUAGGCUGCCUAUCCUUGGGCCUCGAACCCACGCAGUUCAACGCAACCUUCAAGCACCGAGUGAUCUCCUCGUCGUGGCCCUUUCAGACCAAAGAUUUAUCGAUGCAAUCUUUGCUCCAGCCGGCGAUCACAAGGCUAUUCACCUAAUCGACUAAAUUCCCUUUGAACGCUUCAUGGGCAUUAAUGUUCACAACAUCCAAUGGUGUUUGCCCUGUGACCAAUUCGAGAGGCACAACUCCGCUCCAUUUGAAUACAGAGUCCCGCCUGUCAUAUGCUUGUAAACGAGUAACCUUUCUUCCUCCACAGCGCAGAAUCCCAACAAUGGAACCAAAUUCGGAUGGUGUAACUAUCCUAGCUUAUUCAUCUUAGACCUAAACUGCUUCUCGUUGAGCUUGGAAGAGACGCUGAGUCUCUUCACCGCUAGAGCAGACCCGUCGGGGAGGACUGCCUUGUAAGAGACGCCGGUUCUUGUGCAAAUGAUGAUGUUCUCGAACUCGAAAUUGUUAGUGGCCACAAUCAAAUCGUAGAGCUUAAUCUUGUUAACCGGCUUCUGGAAUAGCGAAACCUCGAUGAGUUUGUGACACCUGAGAAGCCCAAUCCAGCUUGACUCGUCUUUCCUAGCUCCUGCCUUCUUCGCUCUCUUGCCAAACAGCCGCCACCAAAUCGCAAACCCUAGAACCAACGAGCCAGUAAGCCAGUAGCUCCAACAACACCUGCGGCGAUAAUAAUCCCUAAGCUCUUACAACUCAAUCCGCCACACUUCCCAACAGCCGACCGCACAGCUUCCUGUUCCCUGCGAAAUCUUCCACGGGGAAACUGGCCAGAUCCGCCAGAACCGACCCUGAGAGCUUGUUGUUCGCGACGGAAAACGUUUUCAGCUAGAGGUUUAUCCAUCUGAAUCCCUAUUUGACGCCCUAACUUUCGAAUUAAACGACGCCCUAAUUUGAGUAAAUUACAAUAUUAUCCUUUUGUGAAAUCGAAAUCCAUAUAAGUUGUGUGUAUUGACUAGUUCAACCACAAUCAAACACUCACAAACACUCAAAAACACUCUCAAACAUUGAUCAGACGAAGAAAUCGAAGAUCGGAAGCAAACGUUAGAGGUAAGAAAUCGAAAAAAGGUAUUAGAAGGCCCCGGCCGGCCGCUCGUUUCGGCCGAGAGGGGUCCCGGCCGAGCCUUUUUUUUUAAUUAUGAAAUUAAUUAUUGUGCUUAGUAUAAUUAGAGAAUUUCUAGGGUAUGAUUAGUGUAAUUAGAGAAUGUUAGUAAAUAUUUAGAAUAUUUAGGAUUUUGUUAGUGAAUAUUUUGAAUAAUUAGGGUUUUGUUAGUGAAUAAUAAUUAGGGUUUAGNNNNNNNNNNNNNNNNNNNNNNNNNNNNNNNNNNNNNNNNNNNNNNNNNNNNNNNNNNNNNNNNNNNNNNNNNNNNNNNNNNNNNNNNNNNNNNNNNNNNNNNNNNNNNNNNNNNNNNNNNNNNNNNNNNNNNNNNNNNNNNNNNNNNNNNNNNNNNNNNNNNNNNNNNNNNNNNNNNNNNNNNNNNNNNNNNNNNNNNNNNNNNNNNNNNNNNNNNNNNNNNNNNNNNNNNNNNNNNNNNNNNNNNNNNNAGAUCCGGUAGAGGAAGAAACCGAUGGGAUCUAGAAAAUGAGAGGGAAAGGAAAACAAGCGGGCAUUUUAGAUCGGAUGAAGGAGCGAGUGGUCACCGUUUAGCGGCGGAAAGAGGGAGAGGCAGCGAAGAAGAACAAGAAGUUGAAAAUCUACGGCUCCCCUGACCGGUACCCUCCUGUUACAUACCCGGUUAAGUCGUAUCUUGAAGAUGAUGAUGAGGAUGAGGGUCCACCGCCGGGGUUUGAGUACGAUUACACACAGACUUCCGCCCACAUGACUUCUCCGCACAUGACUUCUCCACACAUGGCUUUUCUACACACGAGCUCUCUACACCUCGCUUCUACGGGCUCGUCACAUGCCUCCGCGGGUGUUGGCUUGAGAGGAGGGAAACCUAGCCGACUUGCGCGAGUCCGGGAGGAGGAUGCCGCCAGUGGAGUUGACUGGCAGGGACUGAGUCGUACCUAAGAGCUUACUGCAGGGCUUCCAGACGGUGGACCGAGGACGCCAACAGUGAUCCCGAGCUUCGGAGGUCACAUUGCACACUACUUGUGGGAGUCAGGCGAGGGAUAUAGGGAUCUGAAGGUCUUUAGGUUCCUGAAGCGCCCUAAGCAGUGGGACACUGUGGGCGAGUUCGAUAUCCAAACGAGGACCAUUUGGCCGAUCAUGCAGGAGUCGGGACUUCUUCAUUUGGGCCGGUGCAUGUCGACCCACUAUGAUGAGCCUCUUCUGGAGGCAUUUGUUGAGAGGUGGCAGCCGGAUACUAACACCUUUCACAUGCGGUGGGGAGAUAUGCCGAUCAGUUUGCACGACGUCUUCCACAUUCUCCGGGUCCCGGUGUCUAGACGACCGCUUCAUAAAUCCCAAGCUCUUGUUGAUUUUAGAGCAGGUGUAGCAGAGGCGCUUAGGUUUAGCUCUGCUGCUGCGUUGGAGUACUCGGUUAGGGGCGAGACACUUGGCCCACCACUGUAUGAUCACGACACCAUGCACGAGAGGGACAUGAUCUCCCUUGGAAGCAUAUGGGGGAUGAGACUGCGUACUGUCUUCUUGGAGGUACCCUAUUCCAGGAUAGAUCGCCUGAUCGAUCACGCCUUCUUGGUUGAGAGUACUUCAUGGGUUCGAUCAGUGAUGUCCCGUAAUACGCUUGGGGUGCUGGUGCGCUGACCUGGUUGUAUCGGGAGCUAAGGAAGGCUAGCUGUGCGGAAGCGAAGGCAAUUGCAGGCUAUAUGACGCUGCUUCAGUCCCAGAUAUACGAGUACUUCCCUAGUGUGAGGCCUCCCAGGAUGGUUCGACAGGAGCGUAGGGCAGGAGAUGCGUUAGCUGGUAGGUGGAACAGUGCAGAGACACCUAGUCGGGGUGGCGGAGUCCUACGAGAGAUGUUGGACUACUAUCGAUGCAUCCUCGAUAACAUGGAUUCUCGUUAUGUGAUUUGGCUUCCUUUUGGGCCGCAUCCCGACCUUGAGGUCCCCGUGUCGACUUUUCGUGGUCUCAUCUACUGCACCGACGUAGGUGAGUACUACGAUUCCUAUCGUGUACUCUGACAGUUUGGGUACACACAGGUUGUCCCUCCCUCGAAUGCUGUGCCGCUGUGGGCUGUUAGCCCCCCCGCCAUCCGGACCUAUGCGGUUAAGUGGGCCCCGGCUGAGGAUAGGACUUGGUCGACGCAGGACUUCAUCAAAUUUCACCGGCUACACCUUAUGUUCAAGAGGGCAGUGUCCGGGGCAGAUGGUGCUCCAGGGUACAUGGACUGGUACCUCGAGCACAAUCACCUGAGCAUCGUAGCGUCGGCUAACCCCGCUGUAGGCAUCCCACCUGAGCUUGUAAGUUCGAUUUCACCUUCACAUUUGACGGGUUUAUAAUAUGUACAUGUUAUUUACCUAACUCUUAAUUUAAGAUGGUGCUCCAGGGUACAUGGACUGGUACCUCGAGCACAAUCACCUGAGCAUCGUAGCGUCGGCUAACCCCGCUGUAGGCAUCCCACCUGAGCUUGUAAGUUCGAUUUCACCUUCACAUUUGACGGGUUUAUAAUAUGUACAUGUUAUUUACCUAACUCUUAAUUUAUGCCUUAGGAGUACUACGACCAUAUGGAGGGGAUAUGCAUGCAGUUUCAGGACCUCUACAUGGGGUAUCAGAGCUAGAGAGAGCCGAGAUUAGAGACUAUAGUUGUUGUAUUUUCCUUUCUUCAAAUGCUAUAUCUGAGUGUUGUUUAGCAAUCAUCGUGCUUAUGUUUGUAGUACACGCAAUAACUAUGAGUUCGUAUUAUCUAUGUAUUAUUUUCGUAUUUCUACGCUUUCUUCUACACACAGUGACAAUAAGGGUAUCAGAAGGCCUCGGUGCCUCCCGAAAUAAAGAUUACGGGAGGCAUCGGUGACUCCCGAAAAAAGGUUUAGAGAGGCCUCCCGAAAAAAGGGUUCGGGAGGGCUCGGUGCCUUUCAAAAAAAAAAUUCAUAAUGGAGUGGUCCCGGCCGGAACGAGCCUCCGGUCCGGACCCCUCCCGGCCGAAACAAGCUUCCGACCGGGACCACUCCCUUCCAAUAAAAUUUUUCGGAAGGCAUCGAAGCCUACCGAAACCUCUUUUCGAAAGGCACCGAGGCCUCCUGUAAUCUUUAACGAAUCUUCGAGUGACAGACACAGUAGGGACUUGUCGUUGUGCAUGGAUUUAAAUGAAACUAAACCAUUAAUUUAUUAUCGUAUGUUCGCGUCACACACAAUUCAGACAUUUUCAGUAAAGGACCUAUGGAUUCAACCGUGCAUACUCUGCAUGCUAAUUACCGUAUAAGUCAUGUUGCCACAUCUGUUUAGCGCGGUCUUGCGCCCAGUAACUCCAAAACAUAGACUUCCCCAGGAUGGGUAAAACCUGAAGAUCAUCAUCUAAAGUGAGCAAGACCCAGUGAUUCCCGAUACACACUAUAUACGACACACCUCUUGGUAUCGUUGUGCCAUCUUGUACAAUCAACGGUAGGUAAGUCUCCCCAUACAGUACCCCUCAUAAUCCAGGUUCGAAGACAAUGAAAGUCUAGUUAAAUAUGGUGGCAUACCCUAAAAGAUCCAUGUUCCAAAACCACCAUGAUUCAUCACAUGGUGUUUCCCAUAGCCAACCUAACCGGUGAAUGACGCCGUUCAAGUCAAUUGUAUAGACAUUACUGUAUAGUUCGUACCAGUUCAACAUAACAUGUUCCAUUAGACGCCUCUGCAUGUCCACAUACUAACUAUCGUCACCGGCCGUAACUAUGUAUGAAAUGCACCGAAAUCCGCAAUGUCCAUCCCCACGUGGGUUGAACACGUCACCUAGCAUGGGGUGCAUACCUGCCGGGAUAUACCUCCAAAACGGACGAACUGUAAAAAAAUGGAACAACACAUGAGUCAGACAGUUAGACGAAAUGAGAUCGCAACAGCUAUAUCGACUAUUUAACAUACCACUAGUUGGAAGUGAUGAGGCCGGAGUCGGGGCCGUGUUCGAAGCAGUAUGUUUCGAGGAAGGUGUAGAUCUAGUCGAGCUACCUUUGCUCUUGGGAGGAGUACACUGUGCACUAGCAUGCUCACGCCAAGAAGGAUUUUGACGAUCGGUCUCUCUUGCACGCGAUCGGCCUUUAGGAGCAUCAGCAACCUUCGGUUCCUUAAAACCUUCAGACUCGGGUUGAAAUGCUUACCGAACUAAUCGACUCAACGUCCGGACGGAUGGCCCUCCUCUGCCGGGCUCGUAUACGGCAAUGAAUGCCAAAAUUUAUGCAAGUGGUAUGGUUUCAGCUCGUCGUCAGUGGCCUCCUUAGAAUGCAAACUACAAGUACACGGGGUUCCAUGCGUUGUCUCCACUACAUAGUCACAUGGUGUUACCUUCGAGAGCUCUUCUGUCAAAAGCUCAAUUGCCCAUUCCGAGACUGCUUUAUUGAGAUAAACAAAUUGUGGUCUUUGCACGUAACGGUACACCUACGCCCAAUGAAACAAAACAUGAAAUAACUAGUUACAAUAACUGUGUCAGAAUAACUACUUAUUGCCACAUGAAAUAUGUAACUAGUUAGGGCAACAGGGUGUAAAUACCUUUGCGCAAGAGUCAUCCAAUGCCUUCUGAACUUUGAUGACCUGUCCCUCGAUGGAUGCAUGGUAGCCCUCGAAUAGAGAAUCAACAGCUUGAUUGGAAGAGUUGUACCACGUCUUCAGCGAGAAGAGUUGUACCACGACUUCAGCGACGAGUGUUUAGAUUCCAUCCUGUUAGUGCUCGUGUUUCCAAUGUGGAAAACCUAAUUCGUAUCGCAAUGAGCCCACUGGGUCUUGCACGUAGCCACUCACUGGUUAGGUACUCGAUCAACCCUCCAACAUUGGCCCAAUCACUAUCGACCAUGCGUUCCCACUCUUCGUAGAAUUCUUCAUGGGAAAGUGCGUUCAACACUCUAUUCCAUCUCCCGUGCACGAAGGCCUCGGCAGAUUCCUCACUACUUGUCACAAAUUUUAUUUUUGCAGCUAUAUUCCUUUUCAUAUGCCACACGCAAAGUAAGUGUGGCAUUUCUGGGAAGACAGUCCGCAACGCAACAGCCAAUCCGCGAGCCUUAUCGGUGACAAACGCCGUUGUUUGUCACUCGCCCAACAAUGAGCGCAACUGAUUCAACACCCAAACAUACGUCUCCGCCUUUUUGUUCUCAACGAGUACAUAGCCGAUACUAAAGUUCUUCUGCACUGGAGUCACACCUAUCAACUGGAUCACUGGCUUCCUAUACUUGUUGGUGUUGAAGGUCGAAUCAAUUAGAAUGACGUAAUACCAAGCCCCCAACAUCUGAGCACUCUCGGGGUGUCAGAGAAAAAGGUUGGCCAAAUUUUUCUCCUCAUCCUCUGUAAACUGUACAAAGUACCCUAGUCGUGUAGCGGCUCUCAAUGUCCAAUCCGUCGAACUCAUGAAUCCUAAUUUUCCUUUUCUUACCUUGUACGACUCGUUGUAUAUCUGAUUUAUAUUGUGGUGAGAAUUGAACUUCUUGUUCAUAGCGUAUCUGAUCUUGUUUGGUUGUGUGUGAGUCGCAAGCAUGUCUCUUCUGAUCUUGUUCGGCUGUGUGUGCGUCGCAAGUAUGUCCCUUAUUUCGCUCUUCUCUUCACUCGUAAGUGCAUUACUUUGUGGUAACCUUUUGAUACUGUACAAUUGUUGGUGUGGCCUACACCGUCAAUGAAGAACUUCCAAUCGCCACCUACGACCCGACACCGCACCGCAAGUUUGCAGGGGCAGGUAAACUGUCAAGGACGAGUGCUUUAGGCUUGAAUGAUGAUUGUGCUUCAGAUGUUGUGAUGGAGAACAGAAGACAAGAAAUUGAGACAAGGAAAAUGCAGCUACAACCAAGAGCCAUGGUUUGGUUUGGUGAUUUGCAAGGAUAUAUGAUUUUUUGUGAGCAAUCCUGAUGCCUAGUGGAUGUGUUAUUUAUAUUGGUUUCUUGUGUAUGAAAACGCGGCCACCAUGUUAAUGACUGACAGCUUUGGAGGCAUCGUUAUCGCUGUAGUGGUGAUCAAAAAUUGACCAAGACACAGAGCAUACCUUAACAAAAAAAAUAUGCCAUAUUUAUCCAAAAGUUCAACAUAUUUUGUUCGUUAACUCGUUACAUUGUAAGUAUGAAGAACGAGUUGGUGAGCUCUUAUCGUUUUUUACAAAAUUUAGGGAACAUUGCCAAGUCGAAGAGCAAUCCAAGUAGUUCGAAGCAACCAAGUUAAAAAAUUAAAUGGUGAAACAUCAUUGGAUCUAUCUUAGCUUUGAAUUCCUAAUUAAUCAAACAUUUACUUUAAUCAAAAAAGAUUUUGAUUUGGGUAUUUGUCAUUAUAGCAUAACAUGGGAAAAUAAGAUUUGUAAAGAUCAUAUAGACUGGAUCAUAAGAUUUGCAAAGAUGCGAGUGGUGAAAUAAUGACUGCAGCUUAAAGGUGCUGGUAGGGGUGGAAGUUUGGGAACGGGAUUUGAGAAUUCCCGUUUUCGUAUUGUCACCAUAUUUUGAUAAUUUUGAUUUUUGAAUUCUGAAAUAAAUCAGUCGGGUUUAGUUUGAAAAUUUUAAUUUUGGAAUUGGGAAUUUAGGUUUGGUUCCGGGAUUCCCUAUAUAUACCAAAAAUGCAAUCCAUUUACAACAAAAAUCACAUGACACCGUGUUGGUGUCAUGUGAGCCUGUUCUCCAUGGGCUUGCUGUUAUAGUUCUUGGUUCUAAUUUUGGUUGGUUAGGACCACCUGGCCAUCAACUAGCAAAAACAAAUACCUAAUUGUUUUUUCACCAAAUAAAAAUCCAAUUGUUCAAUACGAAUAAAUGAAAAAUUUAGGGAUAGAGGAUGGAUAGAGGAAUUUUUUUUAAACAUAAUUAAAUUAAAAAUUAUGUGUAUAGUUAAAUCGAGAUUUAAAUUAUAAAAAGCAAUUAUUAAGAUUUAUGGUGCGCCACACAAUUAGUGCGAUUAUUUGAUUUAUUUCACCAAACUCAGAUUUGUAUUUUAACACCCAAAUUUUUAUAUAAUUUCAAUUUAAUUACUCAAUUAGUUUAUAAAGUGCGGUUAACUGAAACUCGAUUCUCGGUGCGUUAGGUUAACGUCAAUUGGUUACGAAAUUGGUUUAAAUGCACUAAACCGGUUAAAAUGUAAGCUCCAUCCGUAUCCGGGCUGAACUCGGGUUAAACGUAACAAAUUUUAAAUUGAAUAAUUGAAAAUUUUAAGUUUGCGUUAUACUGAUAUAAUAACGACAUAGCACGAAGAGAAUUAAACCAUUGAAUUAUUCUAUAACUGAAAGAUUUGCAAAUAUUGUAACCGAAAGAGUUACAAAUAUUGUAACUACAGCUCUCAAACUCCUUUAUGUAGAAUGAAUAUCCUUUAUGUAGAAUGAAGAACUUCAACUAAUCGGCCAAAUCGUCGAUUUCAUAGAUCACGGCGGCAAAAUAGCCGCAGUUGAGAGGUUGUGAAAUUAGCGGGCGCGGAGGCGGAUGAUAGGAAGAGAUCUGGACGGGCGUUUUCCGAUGCUCCUCCGUCACAAAUCCUGAAAUUCUUGGAACGAUUUCUCAUGAAUUUUAAACCUCUUCCACUAUUGACCAUACUUACAAGCCAAACAAACAACCCUCCCUACUUUGUUUUACAUUUUUCUUUAAAAAAAAGGACCAACUUUGUGUUGUGAUCUCGACAAUCCAUAUUUCAGGAUGCGUAAACUAAAUUCCAAACCAGUAAGUAAGACCCAGAUAGAUCUGAACUGCUUUUGCCACAAAUGACAAAACCCAAGCAAAGCACCAGAGUAAACGACCCAGAGUUUCACAUUCUUUAAACAUCAUCCAAAAAAGCAGAGCAUCACCUUUGCAGAAUAUACAAAGAUCUUAUGAUUUCAUCCUCUUCAUAAUUAUAUCUGUAAACUAAUUACUUUUUUACUCCCAUUUACCAAUCUAUCUCUCUUAUUCGAUCCCCAAAAUGUGUUGCUUUUAUCUAUCAAUUCCGAAAGUAUUACCAUAGCAUCACAAAAUAGAAAUUCACAAUAGCUUCUCAGCCAAAACGCUCCAUGCUUCUUACUCAAGGCAUUGGCUAACCAUUCCUUGCCUCCUUACUUUCCUUUGCACCCCUAC
rnacentral:lncRNA from 1 species